rnacentral:lncRNA from 1 species
ACAAUCAUCUUCCAGUCAUGUUUCCUCAUUUAACACGAUUGAUUGUGCGGCGUUGUCACAAAUUAAAAUACAUAUUUUCAGCGUCUAUGAUCGGAAGCCUUAAGCAGCUCCAACACCUAGAUAUACGCUUCUGUGAGGAUUUACAGGAGAUCAUUUCUGAAAACAGAGCAGAUCAAGUGAUCCCUUAUUUUGUCUUUCCACAGCUCACCAAUCUGAUACUCCAAGAUCUACCAAAACUUAGAUGUUUGUACCCUGGAAUGCAUACUUCGGAAUGGCCCGCGCUAGAAAUGCUUUUAGUGUAUGGUUGUGACAAAUUAAAGAUAUUCGCUGCAGAUUUAUCGCAGAAUAAUGAGAAUGAUCAACUUGGCAUUCCUGCACAACAGCCCCUAUUGCCGUUGGAAAAGGUAUGAAGUCAUUUUCUAGAUUUUUUAUCAAUAGCUUAUUUUUAACUUUGAAAAAUAUGAUAAAGCAUCGAUAAAUUAAUACUUAAUAAAUUAAAAACUUUUAUUAUACAAUAAUCUUUGCUAGUCUAGACUUAGGGAUCGAUGUGGUAGAUUAAUAAUUAUAUGAACUGUUUUAGGUAUAGCAUUUAUAAAAGAAUCCUUAGUCUUUUCAUAUAGAAGAACUAACAAAAUAAAUUAGUAAUUUAUUAUUGUGUAAUAAAAUAAUUUCGAGCCAGUUUAAAUCAACCUUUUUUCCCUAAUUUCUUUUUUACCUCUAAAAUUAACAUAUAAAAUAAAUUUUAUCAAUAAUUCAAUUUUUUUAAAAAAUAUAAUAUAAAACAAAUCCUAUAAAGUCACUGCGUGUGACCGUAGAUCAUCAAUUGACCUCAUUAGUUAUUAUGAUUGAUGAUGAUCAGAUCGUACCCAACUUGAAGGAACUAUCACUAAGUGGAAAAGAUGUGAAGAUGAUUUUGCAGGCCGAUUUCCCACAACACCUUUUUGGCAGUCUUAGAAAACUAGAGAUUGCUGCAGAUGACUCAGCUUGUUUUCCAAUCUGGAACGUACUGGAGAGAUUUCACAAUCUCGAAAUACUCUCACUGUUUAAUUUUUCAUUCCACGAAGAGGUAUUUUCGAUGGAAGGAUGCUUAGAGAAACAUGUGGGGAAGUUGGCAAUGAUAAAAGAAUUAAAUCUGCACCGGCCCUAUCAUCUGAAGCAGCUGUGCAAACAAGACUCCAAACUUGGCCCCAUUUUUCAGUCUCUUGAAAUUCUAAAAGUAUAUCAUUGUCAAAGUCUGUUAAUUCUAUUGCCAUCAUCAUCGGUAUCUUUUCGGAACCUAACAAAACUUUUAGCUUUCGGUUGCAAGGGAUUGAUGCACUUGGUAACAUCCUCCACAGCAAAAACUCUAGUGCAACUCGUCACAGUUCAAGUAUGUCGAUGCAGAGCAAUGACAGAGGUGGUAAUAAAUGACAAAGAUGGAGUUGAAAAAGAAGAGAUUGUUUUCCGCAAAUUGAAGGCGUUGGGCCUGCGUGAUUUAGAAAGUCUCACAAGUUUCUGCUCUGCCAAUUACACCUUUGAAUUCCCAUCUUUGGAAUAUCUGGAAGUGAUUGGUUGUCCCAAGAUGAAGACUUUCACUACAGGAGAAUCAAUCACGCCUCCAAGAGUAAAUGUCUGGUGUGGAGCGACAUCGAAUCAACGGCGUUGGGCUAAUAAUGAUCUUAACAGGACCAUACAACAAUUACAUGCUGAAAAGGUACGGAUAUACAUGUUACUCUUUAUCUCCCAUGGAAAAAUUUUACAAAAUUUGCUUUUUUUAAAUAAAAUAUCGAAAAGAUAUUUGUUAUAAAGUAAAAGUUUAAAUUGAUGAAUAAGAAUUUUAUUUUCAGCUGUUGGCGGUGCAGUCGGCGAUCUCUACCCAGUACUAAUUUCAUAGGCUUCUUAUGACUUGGGAGUUGUGAAUUUUUAGAAGAAAGCCUCAGCUGGUAAUUAACUGGUAAUUAAUUUUUAUUUCAUUUAUUUGAUCUCAUGGCUUGUUUCGCAAUUUCAUCUGAAUUAUUUAGAAUGGGUCAAUCGGCUUACUGUUAAAUUUGGAAUGCAAUUUUAAUGAUUCGUUCAGACUUUUGUGGACAGAUUUUGCAUCAUUGAAUGUCUUCUAGUCUAGUUUAAUUUGAGUAUUUUUUUCUUUUUUUCUGUUUUUUAGAUUUCCCCUAGUUUUCUAAAAUUUUAUAAUUCCUUGCAUACUUUGUAUGAUAAAAUUUCAUCAAAAGCCUUCAUAUUUUAUAAUUCCUUGAAAACAUCAUUGCUGUUCUCUUAUUUUAGUUUGUUCAUUUGGUUUGGUUUGCUUCACACCUAUCUUUCUUUGGGAUUUUUUUUUUUUUUUUUUUUUGAUGAUCUUUCCAAAUGCUCUUCCCUAUGAACACAUAAUUAAGAACAGCUGAAAAUCAUUCAUCGGAUAAAAAAUUAAAAAUAAACAAAAUCUAAUCAGAGCAUUAUGCCUAGAACAAAUCCUUAAACCAUCAAAGCAAAACUCUUCGCUAUGAAAAACUAUACUGUGGAAAUAUUGUUUGAAAACGUUGGAUACCAAGAAAGGGACUAAUUUGGUCUAGUUUUAUGAGAAGUAUAGAAGAACGUUGUUUUCUCUGUUUUUCCUGUUAGAACUCUUUACUCUGUGAUUGUAGAAUGUCUGGAUACUGAUGAAGAUUCAAGUAACUCUUCUCCUGUGCAUCAUUUGAAAUAAGGUUUUUUUUUUUUUUGGGUAAUAUCUCCUACUGGGUUAUAGUUCAUACAAAGAGAUUCUUAAAUCAAGCCGGAUACUGCUAGAAACAAGUGGGGAAGUAGGCGCUGAUAAAAUGGUUAAUCCUGUCCAGACUUAAUCAUUGAAGCAACUCCAAACUGGACUCCAUUUUAAAUAUCUUGACAUUCUAAGACUAUUUUACAAGCAUUUAAGUCUAUUCCCAUGAUCAUCUAUAUCUUUUGGGAAUCUAACAGAACUGUUGGUUUUCCAUUGCAAGGAAUUGUAACAUCCGUCCACUACAGCAGAAAGUCUAGUGCGGCUCGUAUCAAUGAAGGUAGCUGGAUGCAGGGCAAUGACAGAGCUGGUAAUAGGUGACGGAGAAGACGAUGGAGCACCAAAUUUAAAUUAAAACAAGAGAUUGUUUUCAGCAAAUUGAAGACAUCGAGUCUGUCUGAUUUAGAUAGUCUCACAAGUUUCUGCUCUGCCAAUUACGCUUUCAGAUAAAGAUUCUUGAAAUUGUCCUAUUUACAGCUGACAUUUCCACAAGAGUUGGAGAAUAUAAAAAAUUCAUUAAUCGUUAGUUUUUAAUUUCAUUAUUCAAUGAAAAGUCCUGUCAAAUUAAAUUGCAAAUCUCAAUGUGCAAGUACCUAAAUUUACUAAAUUUACUUUAAAUUAAUGAAUGAAAGAAUUUAUUUUCUGCUGUUGGAGGAGUCGUCAUCUCUCUCGACAUAGUAUACGAUAUGUUUUGAUCCCAUAGGCUUUUUAAUAUAUUACCUUGUGUUGUUUGAUCUCUAGGUUUAUUUUAUCGUUUCAUCUUAUUAUUUGCAAUGCGUCAGUUGGUUUAUUUGUUAAUUUUGGAAUGAAGUUGAUGCAGCUGAUGGUUGCAUAGGAUGAGUAGGAUAUCACUCCUGGAUCAUAACUUGAGCGGGUAUCUAUUCGGCAAGAAAUUCUGUUUAUUUCGUAGUUAUUUUACAAAGUUUAAGAUAUUUUCUUAUUUUUCUUAUUAUUUUCAAUAUUUUGAUAUUUUUUCUCUAAAUAUAAGAUUUUAAGUAUGAUUUAUUUUAUUUUUCUUAUUUCAGUUAGGAGAACGUUAUUAUGUAAUAAUAUUUUAAGUUUGCAAUUUUAAUAAAUACAUAAUAUUUAGAAUUUGUGUAAAAAGGGUCCAAUACCCUAAUUUUGUUAUUCAAACUUCUAUUAAUAAAAUUUCAGACUUUUUAAAAAAAUUUCUCUAUAUUUUCAAUCUCAACAUCUGUGUUUCCCUUUCAUCAUAAGUUUUAAUAUCUGGUUCUGAGCUAGCUUUAUGUGCAUAUUAUACAUCAUUGAAGGUCUUUUGAUCUGAGUUAUGAUCAAAAAAUUAUGCUCGCUUCUGUCUGGUCGUAUGAAAAUUGUGCAAAAUAUAAUUCUUAUAUAAUUUUUUAUCCUCCAUUGUUACAGAAUCCCAAGCUUCGAAUUUGUAAACUUUGAAAGCAUGGCAGAAAACUUAGUACUUAAUAAGGCUCUGGAAUAAGACUCUUUAUGGCUUCAAUAUUUUACUUAACAUGAAAAUUUCUUUCUAACUAGCAUCAUUGCGAAGAUAAAUUGGGGUAGUUCUGACAAGUACUGGCACUGCACAAUUAAUGUUACCAGCAAUCAAUUGUUGUGAGCACCGACAACCAUUUUCAUAUUUAAGCCUUAAGAACAGUAACUCAAAAUAUGGCAAGUGGCAACCACAUCAAAUAAUCAAAUUGUUGAUAGAUUUAGAGAGCUUUAAUUUGCUUGAUAUAUAUUUGAAUAUUUCAACAGAUGCAUCUUUUCUCUACUCACGGGGCACGUUGAGUUAGAAACGGUUUGAAUGUCAAUAUUACUCCAAGUGCCUCAACCAAAUUCAGAAUGAAAAAAACCAUCUGGUUACCUGCACUUUAGUUUAAGCAGCUGAUUUAGUUAGCACCAAGUAAUUCACACACAAGUGAGAAAUUUCAUUAGUAAAUCAUCAUACCGGGGAGGAAACCAGCAUCUUGACGCUUUUGUGACCAAGAAAAUCUGCCACAACCCGAUUAAUCAAGUUGUUACCAAACAAAUGAUCAAUUUAAUCAUGCCUUAAUUUUUUCUUUUUUUUUUUUGUGCUGGGGGGGGGGAAUAAAAAUCGUAACUUCAUUUACAUAUAAUUUUACAAAAUCAAUAGGACACUUACAGAGCACCUCCUACAGUCAUAGCAAGUCCAUUGGCAGCUCCUCUUUGAUGCUGUUCCCGUUAUUGUGGCAUAAACCAACAAAUUAAAUUUAAACUUUGACACAUACAAAAUUUGAUAAGGCUGAAAUCAUGGAAAUGUACUAAACAAAUAAAAGAAAAAAAUAUUUACCACUGCUCUGUUUUGAAGAAGGAAUAAUCCAGUUAUUAUAGACACCUGAUGUUACAAUUCAGGAAAAGUAAAAAAGAAUUACAAGAAUUCUAAUAAAAAAGACACAAAAUAAUUUUAUACAUACUUGCUGGUGGAUAAUAUAACCUAAGUAUAUGGAUCAAUGAUUAGGAUAUCCACUUACAAAUAAAACAUUCUUCAUCACAGAAGCACAGUUUAUCAAUAAGGCAAGGCUGAACCCAGAUAACAUUGCUAUAAAAGUGUAACUUGUCAAAAGCGGCAUCGAUAAAACCUGUACAUACAUAGAAAAUUAUGGGACCAAAACCAUGAAGAAAAGUAUUUUAUAAACAGAUAUGUUUGAAACAAACUAUCAAAUGGUCUAAAUGCCACAUGGUGUGUUCAAAAUUUUACCCCUGCAAUGCGUGUUAUGAUUAUUGGCCCAAUGAUCCUCUCGACGUAAGGGUAUAGAGUGAGUUGAAAAACAAGGAGGCUGAAUCCUAUAGUAAGUUCAAAAUGAGGACAAUCAUCAAGCAUGUGAUGGUGUCAAUGUAGUCAUUAUAAGAGAAGCGAAAGUUAUAUUUUAUAGUCCCACCAAUAAGAAAAUUUGAAGUUAUGGGAGAGUUGCUAUUACAUGCACAAUUCAGCCUGAAAAGAGAGCUAAAGGCUACGUACCGGAAUCCAGCAAGAAGCAAUAGUUACCGCAAAAGCAAAGAGUGACAUACAGAGACAGGGCAGGAAGUAAGGAAACCUGCAUAAAUUUGUUUUUCAGAAUACCAUCAUUUUGAAAGUACUACAGAAAAAGAAAAGGCUAAUGGCAGUAAAAAUUCACUUACUUUCCAAACAUAGAUUCUUUGGAAAAUGCCUUUGGAUAUUUCUCUGCUGGCUAGAUUGCAAAAUUAUCCACGAAUAUAUAUAUAAGAACAAUAUUUAUCAAGCCAAACUACUAAAAAUUCAAAAAAAAUGCCCAUAAUAAUCAAGUAAAAAUUGCAGAACCCGGGCCAGAAAGCCACCCACUGCAGGGCCAAUAAUCAAUCCUGUGCCCCAUGCUGUACUGAGCUGAAAUUAUAUUGUACCUAAAAAUGUAACUUUCAGAGUCUCUAGCCACUGAUGAGGACACGUCUUUUGUCUGCUAGCGGAAAGCGCGUGACGGCAAGUUUUUUGUCAGAGCCUAGGGACGCAGAGGGAAGGAAAAAAAAUAUCAUUAAUUUUUUUUCCUCUCUCGGUGGGCCCCACGUAAUGUGGGGCUCUGGUUUUUGUCGCAUUGUGUGGAGGGUGUAUAUCUAAAUCAACCCCUUGAAUACGGACACGUGUCGAUCUCAGAGAAACUCACGUUUUGUUGUUGGGACCCAUUAAUUCCCGUAAAAGUCCUAUUCUUAAAACAAGUCGAUACGAUGAUCAAUACUCCGCCUGUGGGUCCCGGCGACGACCCCCUACGCUGGGCAGUACAACACUAAAAAAUCGCCACGUGUUAUAUUUUAAAAAGCUUUGGGGGAGCGAAUCGAUAGAUUUUUUCUUUUCGUGACAAAGCAUGCGGGGGGGGGGGGGGGCCUCCCUGGUGGAUUUGCCUAGGGGUGGGUAUAUUUUAACCGAAUCGAUCCAAACCGACUAUUUGAAUCGGUUUGAAUUGAUUUUAUUAGUAAAAAAAUUGGUUUUGAUUUAUUGGAUUGUAAACCGACAUCAUUCGGUUUGGAUUUUGGUUUGGAAGGAUUCCAAACCGAUUCAAACCGAUUCAAUCCAGAAAUAUUAUAUAAUUAUAUUAUAUUUUAAGUUAAGCAAUCUAACUAAUUAUAUUUAUCAUUUUAUACAGAUUUUGACAAAUCAAAAGUAAUUGGGCCAUAAGUUUUGACAGACAAGAUGCACAAUAUUUUAAUUGUCAAAUGUUGUUCAAGUUUAUUUUAAUUUUGUGAGUUUGUUUUGAAUGAACAUGUUAAUAACUUCUUUAUUAGGGUGUAUUAUGUUAUAAACUUGUAUGGAUGUAUCUUUGAAUUGUUAUGUAGAUGUCAAAGUAGAUAUGAAUAAUAUAAAAAAUGUAUCAAUUUAGAUUACGGACACAAAAAAAUAAUAAAUAAUUUAGGUAAAAUAAUAUAAAAGAAGUGGGCUUUUAGCUAAUAAGCUCAAACCGAGGAUCCAAACCGAUCCAGUCGGUUUAGAUCGGUUCGGUUUGAAAAAAUUUUAAGUUGAUAUCGCUUUGAAAAUAUUUCAAACCGAUAAGUUUGGAUCGGUUUGAGAAUAUAUCUCAAACCGAUCCAAACCGAAUUUGCCCACCCCUAGAUUUGCCCGCCGUUAAUCAAUUUGUUUGAUGAUAAAGAUUCAAGCAAUCAUACACGAACUUAUUCAAUGGAGCUUCAGAAGAUUGGCAUUGCAGUGAAGUCCUGAGUCUUCUACUCAUCUUUUAACAACCUUUGCAGAAGCACAACAACAGGGACAAAUUCUGCAUAAUCGGGAAAAGAAAAAUCAGAAGACGUCAUAUUGAAAUGCAUUCAUAUUAAUUUGACAAGAAGAGAAUCAAACGCAGACCUCGUUAAAAAUCUUGUAUGCAUACGCAUAUAAGAGAAGUUCAAUAAUUGCGACGCAGGAUCAUUGCCGAAGCAUUAAACAAAUACGAGGCAGAGAAAGAGGAGCUCUGAGGAUGAGCGUGUUAGUGUGGUAAUACAAUAUCCUCGAUGCUUGCUGAAUGGUGGACAGUGGCGUUGGAAUAUCAUCUAAUAAAAGGAGAGAAAGAGGUGGCAACUGGCAAAGUGGGUGAGUGAAAGCUCAAGGCUGAAGCGGUUGGCUAAACUUUGUUAAAAAGAUGCACAUAUUGAUAAUAAUAUACGACCGUACGUUGUCUGUUAACUUGGAACUCUUUAGCAUUUAAGCGAGUCUCUCUCUCUCUCUCUCUACGAUUGGGAAUUGGGAUUUCGGAUCGGGAUCUACCGUAUUCUCCGUCUAUCCUAUGCAUGUCAUCAUACAUCAGUAAGCGUGCGUGCCUCUGCGUCUCCCCCUCUCCUUCUUUUUACACAACUAUUUACUGUUACUAUUUCUUUGCCAAUUCCCUUAUUUCACGGUACUUGUAGUAAGACGAAACAAAGGAAGAAAAUGCUAAGGUACUUCAUUAGGCACAUUUCUCAUGCGUACUUGAAAGUAAUCAGAACCGUUGAUCUUUCCCCGAUGGGCCACCCACUGCAGGGCCAGUAAAAUUUUCUCAAGACCUUUGCAAUCAUACACGAACUUUGCAAUCAUACAUUCCUACAGUUUGGUGCUGAUCGCGCAAUAUUUCACAUGCAUAUGCCUGGUGGUGUAAGAGAAGUUUGAGCACAAAUAUUUACAGGAGUUAAAUUGGAAUUAUCAACAAAUACCCCCAAUCAAUACCUUAAUUGGUCCAAGUAAACCAUUCAAAGCCCCAAGGAGAAACCUUGUAGUUAUGGCCAUCCAGAAAUUCACACUAAGCCCAAAGAGAGUGUUAAAAAUAACCCUGUGAGCAUUUUAAGACAAAUAAGAAACCCAGAAAUUGCCAAAGUAUCAUCAAUUUCAAGCUUAAUCAUUUGAAAAUAGAGGUCACUAACACUGUGAUGCAUCCUAUUAUUAUUACAGGCUUUCGACCGCAGCGGUCAGCUCCCAUUCCCCACAAAACAGAUGUUAAAGCUCUGCCAAGCAUGUAUGAAGACCCUUCAAUUUCAUCAAGGUAUUAAGAUGUUUGUUACGAUAACUUCUCGAGGAAUUUGAAAUGUUACAUGCAUAUAUGUUAAUUAUUUCGAGGUGCGAUCAUCUCUACUUUUUAAAGCAUAGACUUGGCGCCCUUUACAGUAUAAAGGCGCAAGUCUGCAGUGUAAAACCCUUGUACAGUGCCUUUACAGUGUUGUAAAGCCCUCGGUAGAACGUUUUUACAGAGUUGUAAAGGCGCGAGUCUGCACUUUGUAAGGUGUGGACAUUUGUACCAAAAAAGGACUCCAUACUAUGUGCCAUUUAUUAAACACAAUAAAAUACAUAAAAUAACUCACCCACGUAACCAGCAUAGAAUCCAAUAUCUUCCUCCCUUUUUGCAAUGUGAAAAUCCCUAAUCUGAAAAGAAAUCAUAACAUACUGUUGUGAAAAAGCAAUGAAUUGUUUGAUAGAUAAAACUUGUCUUUUCUUAUAUUUCUAAGAAAAUCAGCAAGCAUGAUAGAAAAAUAUAAAUUUUCUCACUAGUAACUACUCUGGUGAAGGCAACAACAGUCCACUCACCAUAAAAUAAAGAAAGGGAAAGAGAGAUGCGACCGGCAGAACUGAAAAAAAAAAAAAAAAUCACAAAAGAAUUAAGGACAAAACUAGAAGAGCACAAUAGGCCAAAAUCAUUGUAAAUGGUUCUCUCAAAAAUCAUUAUAUCGAGUUGAAGUUGAAAAAUUUACCAGUUGCAAGCACAACAAUCUAAAUUAUAAAAAGCUUGCGAAUUGGUAAGCCUCGUUCCGACUCUUUAAGCUUAUCAACCUUACAGCCUGAGCAGUUCUCAUAAUAUUUCUUCUUCAGCAGCGGCUCUCUCACUUUCGCCUCCGCCAUACUUGAAAAAUUUUCAGCUCAAGUAAUCGUCUUAGUCUAUGCAAUCCAAUUUCAAUGCCUAAAUAUAAGUACUAGAAAAUAAGUAACAAAAUCAAUAUGCUUAAGGAUAUAGUAGAACUAUAUAAGUGAUCAUUUAAAGAAUUUUCAAUAGAAUUGUAAAAUCAGUUGAUUUUGCAGCUGGGUCUGUCACCACCAUGGUAAUUAAAAUUAUUGGAUCCCAUGUAAAACAAAAUUUUUUCAUUACAUGCCCUCAUUGCUGACGUCCAAUUAAUCAUUACUCUUAUGAGAAUAAUUUUUGGUGACAAGAACGGCGGCAUCCUAGGACGUGACAAAAUAGUCACAAAAAUCCCUUAUUUUAAAAAAUGAUCAUGAAAAUUUAUCCACGGACACACAAAUUCAGGAUCUAUGUAACUAUUUUUAAUUACAAAAAGAGGUCUAUAUAUAUAUUUGAAAAUAAGGGAUAUUCAUGAUUACCAUGUUAAGCCACGAGAUAUCAUGCUGUUUUUUUUAUUUUUCAUUAAAUCGUUGUUACACAAUUCGACAUGUAAAAGUAAUUUAUUUUUUUUGAGAGAUGGUAACAAACAUAGUGACAAAACUAUCAUAGUACAGUCUAAUGAUGAAACUAAUUGUUAAUUAAUUAAUAAAAAUACUAAGUGACUGUAGCGGUUCCGGUCACAGUCACAGUCAAAUACAAUUAGGAUAAUUUAAUUUAAAUAAUGUGUAAUUUAGCGUUAGCCCCAAUUGUUUCGACAUUUUGCAUUGUGCCCCCCAAUCUUCCGACCAUGUCCACCACCCUCAUUUCUUUCAAAUCUAAUGUUAACGGAAAGAAGGGUAGAAUGGUAAUUAACACAAGAUUAAAAUAAUAUAUAUAAUUAAAAAAAACCCUUUUUCCUUCGCCGCCUCUAUAAUUUAAUUUUGGGUUUGAUAUCUUUAGUUUUAAGAUUUUUGAUUAUUGGGUUUCUUUUUAUCGAAUUUUCUUAGUAUGAAUUUAUUUUGUAAUAGAAUUUUACAAUGAAAUUUGCUCUCAGGGAUUUUGGUAUCAUUAGUUUAGGGUUUCUUUCUAUUGGGUUUUAUGUGGGAUUAUUGGACUUAUUUUGUAAUGUACUGAUGAAUGUGUGUUUGAUUUUUUUCUUUCACAUUGGAAUCAUGCUUUGCCUUUGAUUUUGUAAUUUACUAGGUUUAUAAUCUUGGGUUCGUAAUCCGGAAAAAAAUCGUUUCCAUAUAAUUUUAAAAAUAUUAUAAUAAAUUUUUACUUUUUGAUUUAAAUUUUAUUAGUUGUAAGGGUAUUUUAAUACUUAUAUACCCAAUUCAUUUCAAAAUAGGGGUAGUAUAGUCUUUUAAAUUUAUAACAGCCUAAAUAGUUAGAUUAGUUGAUUUUUUAAUAGAAAUAGGGGGAGGUGCACAUGGUCAAAAGAUGUGGGUGCGCUGUGUGAAAUACUGAACAAUUGGGGGCUGAUGCUUAAUUAUCCUUAAAUAAAUUAUUAGUUUAAUGGAAGGAGCAAAAUUCAGGAAAAGAGGAAUCAAACUGCGAAAGGAAUUAGGAAACCUGAAAAGAAAGAAUGAAAAUAACUUUUUUUUUUAAAUUAUUUAUUUGGACAUUGUGACAAACAAGUGAUGUGCAUUGUUAAUUCUGAUUACCCCAAAAUGUCAAGUCUUGAAAAACGACAACAUUACAUGAUUCAUGAGAAGCCUAUCACUUUGAGAUUAAUUUAAUUAAAAAAAAGUUCCGUUUGCUUAAUACUAAAAUGUCACGCGCAAGUUGUCCUGGACUAGAGAGUCGUUCACCCGUACUUACACUGUCACUGCAUUUGCUUGAAAAAUGAUUUUACUAGCAAUAGGUUCUCGUGUUUCGAUAGCUUUCUAAGUGGUUUAUUUACAGGUAUUCAAAAUAUAAAUUAUUGCUAUGAUUUUAGAAAAUAUUGUAUUUUUUUUUUGUAAUUUAUAUUAAAAUUUUGCGACAAUUGUUUGGCUGGAAUUUUUUUUAAUAAGAAAAAUAGUGAUCUCACACUGAUCCAUAGUUGAGCCAAUUACCUAGUUAAAAGCUACCUCCAUAUUUUUUAUUUUUUACCCUAAUGCAUGUCUGAUUCUUUUAAAAUUUUACGUUAUAUAUAUUAAACAAAAAUUAUAAUUUUAAUCAUUGAAAAAUUCAUGACAGACAUCAUUUGAAUAAUUUUUUUUUUUUUUGAAAAAUACAGAGCUAGAGAUAAUGCUAUAAUUGAUUGAAUAAGAAGGCUACAACUUGAUGAUAACUUUAUUGCAAUGUUGCGUGAUCUCAAUAUAUUAUUGGCUUUUGUGUGAGUAAAAGUUGCUGGCUCGUGUUUUACUAAUUUGCCUUUGUAUUUGACUGGCUCGACAAAGAAUCGAUUUACCUCAUACCCAAAUUACAAACAUCGAAACCGGAUCUGUCAUUACGUUAAUUGGCCUCCUAAAAUAAUCAAUCACUUUCUCUUUAGUCUACCAUCCACUCUUUCCAGUCGCUUACUUUCAUUCUAAUCAUCUAAACGGCUCUUUGCUACUGUUUCUUCUAUUCGUCAUUGUUCUUGUUCUGUUAUUAUUUAGCUUUGCUCACUCCUCAGUCUCAUUUCUUAUUCUGUACCCAUCAGCUCUUUUACUUUCCUUUGGCUUUCUUCGCUUCUAUGUUUUUCUCAGGAUUCGAGAUGCUGGAAAUCAUUGUGACUAUCGUCUUGGAACUUGUAAAAUGCUUGGCUCCUCCAACUGAACGCCAACUUGUGCAUUUGCGAAAGCGGAACUACAAUGCCAACUUUGAGAAUAUCAAGGCGGAAAUGGAGAAGUUGAAGGUUGAACGUACGAGCAUUCAGCACAGAGUUUCAGAGGCGGAAGAAAAAGGGGAAGAGAUUGAAGAGAAGGUUGAAAAGUGGCUGGUUAGUGCGAAGUGCGAACGGCAUCAUUGACCGGGCAGCCAAAUUCAUUGAAGAUGAGGAGUCAACGAAUAAGCGCUGUGUCAAGGGCUUGAGUCCUAUUUGGAAGAGUCGCUAUCAGCUUAGCAAGAAAGCAGAGACGGAGGUGAAGGGCAUUAUUGAACUAGGAGAAGAAGUUAGGAAGUUUGAUACUGUUUCCCACCGUACCAUUCGGGAGGAGAUAUGGCUUAAGUCUAGCAAUGGUUACGAGGCCUUCGAAUCAAGACUUUCUACUUUGCAGUCUAUAAAAAAUGCAUUGACGGAGGCGAAUGUCAGCAUUAUUGGGGUGCACGGCAUAGGCGGCAUUGGAAAGACCACACUGGUGAAGGAGUUUGCUAGGCAAGCCAGGGAAAAGAAGCUGUUUUAUCGGGUGGUUUUAUCAGAGGUUUCAUAAACUCCAGAGACAAAAAAGAUUCAAGGGGAAAUUGCAGAGAAGUUAGGUCUGGAGUUGUCCGAUGAAGCUGAAUAUAGAAGAGCUAGCAAGCUGUAUGACCGAUUGAAGAGUGAGAAUAAGAUUCUUGUGAUUCUACAUAAUAUCUGGAAACAUCUUGAAUUGGAGACGGUUGGAAUUCCUUUUGGAAAUAAUCAUAAAGGAUGUAGACUGUUGCUGACAGCACGAGAUAAUACUGUGCUUUUAGGUAUGGGCUCCAAAGAUAACUUUUUGAUUGGCAAUCUAACUGAACAAGAAGCCUGGAGAUUGUUUAAGAUAAUGAAUGGUGAUGAUGUUGAAAAUUGUAAGUUCAAGUCUACAGCAAUUAAUGUAGUUAAGGCAUGUGGAGGUUUGCCCAUUGCGUUGAGGGCACUGAGAAACAAGAGUCUCCAUGAAUGGAAGAAUGCCUUGCGAGAGCUCCGAACGCCUUCAAUGGUAAACUUCGAAGGUGUGUCUGCAGAGACUUAUUCAAGUAUUGAGCUGAGUUUCAAUUAUUUAAAAGGUGAGCAAGUCAAGAAAAUUUUUCUGCUUUGUCGUCUAGUAGGUAACAGUGUUUGGUUUUCAGACUUAUUUAGAUACUCCAUGGGUUUGGGCAUAUUUCAAGGAGUCAACAUUCCCUUCAUAUUUACCAAAGGUAAGUGAUAAAUCCUACAUAUCCCGCUCAAGAAUGCAUAUGUUUUUUCAAUCUCAAGUACCUAAAGUUUUCUUCUAAGUUUAUAAAAAUUUCAGCACCAUCUCCCUAUAAUUCUCCAAGCUCACGACAAAGCUAUAUAAGUGAUGCGUUAUGCCAAAACAACACAUGACACCCAUUCACCUAGUACGUACCCAGAGAACACGAGGAGAAGCUACCGUAAAAGCCAUUUUUACGUGGGAAGAAAACUUCAGCUACUAGCUACCAGAGAGAACUAUGCAUUCCCAAACUGUCCAAGCCUGGACAAUUCAAGAAUUAUUAAUAGACAUAUGAUCCUCACUAUCAUCCAAAGAUGACACUAAUACAACAUGUGUCUAUUAAUAAUUUCUUAAACAAGUCUAAGCUUUCAAUGCACGUAUCAAAAGUUUAAAAUUGAAUCUGAAAUUUGAAUAACACAUAAAUAUCAUAAAUCUCUUCAAUUUAUUCCUGAUACAAUGUAGCAUUAUUUCACAUAUCAUUUCUUAAGCAAAACCAUAAAAAAUACAAACAAUAAAUACAUUUUCCCACUGAUGCAGAUUAUGUUUACUGAGCAAUAAGUUUUAUGUCAUUCAUGUUGAAAUACUUCUGCCUAUUCUUUCAACAUAUAACUAGUACAUACACAAAAAAAAAACCUGGUGGUGAAUCUUGCAAAAUCUUCCUUUUUUCUUUUUUUUUUCUUUUUCUUCUUUUUUUGGGGUGGGGUGUUGGGGGAACUAUGAAUCUUGCAAAUCCUCAAGAAGCCAUGUUAAGACAAGGCCAGCUUACUAUUGGGGUAUGAAAGAUAAAACCUUUUAUUUCCUUUUCAAAAUAAAAAGGACAUUGACAGUGUUAAAAAAAAUCUAGAGGAUUUCAGGCCUCCAGAUCCUUACAAAUCAAGGAUAUUAAAAAAAAUUACUUAGAGGAGAAAGGUUAUGCUCAUUUGUAUCUUGUUAGAAGAAAUUGAUCCAAAGCCUCAGUUUUAAUUUGCUUCAUAUAGCCAAUGACUAGGUGUUUAAAAACCAAUGAAUAUUUUUAUAAGAAAUCAACAAUAUUGUUGAAAGAAAAACCAAAUAAAAAUAAUAAAGCCAAUGAAUAGAUCAAGGCUCUUUGUGGUCUAAAACUAAUCAAACUAAGUUGUGGGCAAAGGCAAAUAUGUUUGUUUGGUCAAUAAUAAGCUCAACAAGUCACUAAUAACCACCUAAUCACUAUUCCUUAUGCUAUGCAAUAUAAUGGCCUGGGUAAUGGCGCCAAGGCAGACAAUAAGUAGCUAGCCAGUUAUGAUAGUUGAUUAACUUAACCUACUGGAAAUCUGAAGACCAAAACGAAGAAGCUUUGUCUAGAACUAGAAUAGGAACAUUCGUACCCAAAACUAAUAUACACAAUUAAGAAACUUGAUUAUAUGUAUAUUUCUGUUGGCCACACUUAAAGAGAAUUUCCAAAAGAUGCUAAGGUACACCAAAUCCCACUAUUUCAUACUCAUAAACACAAAAAACCAUGGUAAAAAUUAAUGACUAUAUCAAAUAAAAUCGGUGAUAGGACAUUGAGAUUAGGACAACUUGAUUUGUAUACCGUAAAAUAACUAUAUCUGCAUGGUGAACUAUAUUUCUGUUAGAAGUCUGAAGUUUUCUAUUAAAUUUUUUUCUCUGUUGGGUAAACCACUUAACUGAAGUGCUUAAGCCAAUUUUGACAAUCAUAGACAUAAAAGUAUUAAUAGGCUCAUUCAAGUGAAAUGAGCAUUAUUUCACACAUCCUUUAGGUUUUUAAGUCAUUUAGAAGUCAUUCAUGUUAAAAAAAAAAUUCAUAUACUUUCAAUAUAAUUAGAACAUACACAAUUAAUUAAUUAAAUAAAUCUGUUUCAGCUAGUAUAGGAACUUAAUUAAUCAAAGCUAGUAGUUAUAGCUAGGACUUGAACGAGGCACCUUUCAAAGUUCAAGAAGAGCAUCUGAACAUAAUGAAAGCACUUUGUAGAUAUGGUAAUGAUGCUUUACAUCUACAUGCUCUUACACAGCAUGAACUUUCAUUUACUCCAAGCUCUUAUUCUACAAGUCAAUUCAGUUUGUAGAUGCACGCCAUUGUAAAAACUUUUGUAUUAUAAUUUCUGAAAAUAGAAUGUAACAUUAUUAAUAUAGAAUCAGCAAUGUAUAUAACUUAUCAGACAAUAUAACAAGCACUUGGUGAGCAUACAAGAUAAACUAAAACAAGUCAUCCAGAAAAUGAAACUAAAACCCAAGCUCCGCUAUUCAUUGUAGAUGCUUUAAACAUAAAAUUAAACUAAAUCUAAUAGCAAAACAUUAGAAUGGAUGUUGGAAUUAAAGCUAAAUUCAAUAGUAAUUCAAAUGAAUCCAUUUGAACUUUGUAAAUUCCGCAGAACAAAAUUAAUUUGAGUGAGCAAACUCACCAAUGGAACAAGAACACAGGGGCUUCAACUUGUAGGAAUAAAAAAAUAUUGCUGGCGGGACAAAAAUUGACAAUAAUGGCUACAAUACGAAUUUAAAAAAAAUUCAAAAUCUAUAAUUACAAGCUAAGUAAGAGAAGAAACUCAUAAUCACAAGCUUACCUCAAAAGAUGAAGGGAGAAUACGAUGAAGAAGAAGAUGCCCGGUGUUUUACGCCGUUCGCCGGCAACCAGUUAGGUUUACGAUGGUGGCUAGUCCAGCGAAUAGUUUUCUAACUGGAAAUAAAUUUAAAUUUCUAAAAUAGUGCUAUGCCGAACGGCUCUUUACCGUCACGUGGUUAGUAACAUAUGUGACAGCAGUGUGGCCGUCACAUAAAGGGUAACAAAAGCAACUCGAGGUUACAAAGUUAGAAGUUAGUGGCAUGCGUAAUGGCUGCUUUUGCAAAUUUGCAUUCACAUUAGGGGUCACAUAUACCCUAUUUUCUUGUAGUACAUGGUAAAUUCUAUUUCAAAAUUGCUAAGUAUUUUAGAUUUGUAUGAAUUCAUUUUUGUGUGCUCGUUGGAUAAUAAUAUAUUAUUUAAUAAAUUAAAUUUUUGUUGUAAUUUUCACAAUAUUGUAUUAUAAAUAUGUCUCGUUGAAAGGUUUUGAAAUCGUUUUUAUUGAUCAUAAGGCGAAAGCUACUGUGCAACUGUGAUACGGUAUCACCGUUGCACCCAGCCGUUGGAUCCCACUUGAUCUAUUCAUCCGCGUGGAUCCAACGGCUGGAUGCAACAGUGAUACCGUAUCACCGUUGCACCGUAGCCGGACCCUGAUCAUAAUUGAUAUUUCCACAGUUGCAAAAGAUACCAGAGAAAAUUUGAUUAUCUUAAGAAAUGAGGGAAUGAGAUCUGAAAUCAACCAUACCAUAAAAUCAAAUUUUAUCAUGUCAUCCUUCUCGGUUCAAAUUUAUGGAAACAAUAAUCAAAUGCAUCCAUGAACUAGUAUAUUCCGAGAUAUGUACCAUCAAAUUUUUGCUAUAUCAUACUUAUAUAUGUAUAUUGAAAUUUUAAUAACAACAAUUGGGCCAAGCAUAUGUUGGUACUUGAAGAUUUAUAAGCUCCAUCCUUGAAAAAAUAAAGCUUGACUGUUUUCAAUCUGAUUCUUUUUGUUUUAAGUUCUUAAUUAAGCUUUCUUACUUGUUUUCAAGAGCCAGUUUUGUAAUGAUCCACAAACAUGAUUUGCAUAUACAGUAUUGCAGUUGGCAUUUAUGUAUCACUUAUUAAUUAGAUUUAAAUUUUAUAAAUUAAUUAAGCUGAUUAAUAUUUUAUAUGUGCACUAAAUGAUAGAUACAACAUAAAUUGGGACACUAUAACUACGUAUCCUUACUAUGUAAUAUUUGUUUGUCUCAAACCCAAUCAUGGCUUGAUAUUCUGAAUACUAUUUAGGAUAACAUUUCAAGCCCCAUGAGGGCUCUUUCCGUUUAAAAAAAAAAGUAUGAAAUAGAUGUAGAUUUUUCUUUAGAUAUUAUUAGUGAAAGUACCUUUGAUGGCAAUGGUUCAAGAUGAUUUGAGAUUUGACAAUUCCGCUCUCAUCUUAAUUAUCAAAUGGAAUGUAAGUAGAGAUAAACUCGUCCUGUUUAUAUAUUUGUGAUCAAAAUUAGGACCAAUAUCAAACCGCUCACAAUCAUGUCCCAUCCUAACUAUCUUGAAUGUCUUGAUUGCCUCCCUUAAUUAUCUUUUUAAUUCUCAUUAACAUAUUAGCAAAAUUUCCAUAUAUUAAAAAAUUAGGGUCCGACUAUCUAUACUUUAAAAAUCAUUAUGAACACUCAAUUAUUUAUGCACUCAGCAAAUAAAUUUAAAAAAUUAAGUUUUACUUUCUACACUUUUUAAAAUAACAAAAACAUCUUUACAUGAACCUAAUAAGUUUAUUUAAAAAAAUUAAAUCAACUAUUUUUAUUUAUUCAAAAUACUAAUAAAAAUAUUUAGCAAACCGUGAAAGAAAUUUUUUAAGAAAUUUAACACGAUUUUAGUUAUUACUUGUUGUUUAUUAAAGAAUGUGUUCACUAUUGUUUUUAAUUUUGUUAGUAAAAAAAAUAGAAGAAGAAGUUUGGGUUUAAGAUACAUUUAAUUUUAGUGUAACAGUUGUACUAUAUAGCUUUAUUUACCCAAGUGGGCAAUACAUUUAAUUUUUAGUGUAACAGUUUUAUUCAUACAACGCUUUUAAAACUAAAAGUACUUUUAAAAAUAAAUUUUACUAAAUAUUCAGCUUAUUCUCUUGACGAUUGAUCAAUUUCUACAAUAUAACUAAUUGUAAUUAUUUUAAAAGCUACAGGAUUACCAAAUUGACCCUAAAUCAAACCAAUAAAAAUGUUUAAAAAUAAUAAUUAUAAACCAAAGUAAACGUACAAAAAUUCAUGCAUAAUUUGAUAAUCAACAAAAACAUCCACAAGUUUACCUCCAAGUUUUCUACUCAAUUGACAUAACCCUUAAAUUUCAAAAGGCAUAAUCAAUUUUGUGUCUAAUCCUAUAAAAUUAGAAAAUUAAAGAAUAUUAUAUACUGAUAAUUAAAUAAUAUGCACUUAACAAUGUUAAAAAAAUAAUGUUAAACACAUUGUCAACUAAAAUAAUUGGGAGAAUUGGAGUUCCAAGAUAAAUUCUUAUCUAGUCCCAAAUCAAUAAUUGGGAUUAACAAGCUGCUAUUGAAAUUAAUGUUAACAACUAAAAUAGAUGCAAAAGGAGAAACAGGCAUCAUGUGCAGUACCCACUGUGAACUGCUCACAAGUUGUUGGCAGCUGGUCAAAAAUUCAAUGUUGAUUUUGAUCCCACUAAAUUAAGUCAUCAAAAAUUGCUGGGAAGGGAGUAAUAUCUAUUUAUAACUGGAAAUUACUCACCGUACAACGAUGAUUGGAGCUGCAUAUAUCAUUUAUUAUUAACAACUAACUUAUGAAAUGCUUUGAAUGUAUCUCCUAGGUCGUAUUAUUCACUAUACUAGUUAGGAGAAAUUGCAAUGUUAAAUUAUUUGAUAAAUACUUAUUAUAAUUUGAAAAUAUGUUAAUUUUGUCCUCCAUUUAUGAUAAAAAAAAUUAUAAUAUAUAAAAAUCAUUCAUUCUAUAAUCUUGAACUUUAUUAAAGUUUGAAAAACUAUUACUCUAUAUGAUAUAAUUGUGUGAUGUUAUUACACUAUUAUACCAUAUAAAAUAUAUUUGCUUUCUUAAAUUUUAAUAAAGUCUAGGUCUUGGACAGAAGCACUUUAUAUAUGUAUAUAUAAUGAUUCUCUAGUAACAACAUUCUCAUUUUAACAAAAUAAUGAUAUCACUAACAAACUAAAUAACACGUAUUUCAAUACACCAAUAGAUAAAAAAAAAUAUAAUUUUUAAUGUGUUAAAAUAUGUCUUUUGUAUAUUAUUGAUAUUUUCACUUUAACAAAGUGAGGGUGUCCACACUACAGAAGUACUUUAUAAAUAUUCUUUGUAUUUUUGUGAAAAUUAUUAUUUAAAUGUCAUAUCUUACCAAAGACUAUUAGUUUUUAUUUUAUUACUACACUAUACUUUUCAAGAUAGAACACCUUAAUACCAUGACCUUAAUUUUUGAACUCUCUUGUGCAAAGUUGUUGGCUGGUCUAUUUAGCUUAGUCUUUCAAUUAUUUGUCGUUUGAACUCAAAUGAUCCGAAUAAAGCUAUGUAUCAAUAAUUUCCUAGUGAAACUUCGGGAAAAAAUAAAAAUCCUCUCAUACAGUAGCAUUAUUUUAAUUCUCAGCUUGAUUAUGUUUUGAGUUAACUUAUAGAUUAUUUGAAAUGAAAAUAAUAUAAUUUAUUUUUUCCAACUGAAAUUUUUAAAUAAUUUUAUUAGUUUGAUGAGUAAGUAUACACUUACAAAGUUAUGAUAUAAAAUUAUAUCCCAGAAUCUGAAUAAUAUGACACCAAUUAACUACUGCUAUUUGUUUCUUAGUAUUAAAAUUUUCAUACCAUUAUUAAUGAGAUAAUUAACUUCAACACCAAUAAACAAAUUUUAUAUUAAUACAUCCUCUAGCUUUAUUAUCAAAUAAUCAUAUGUCAUAAUCAAACCAAGCUACCAGAGCCUACCACUAAAAGAUUGAUUGAAGGGUUUUCCAAGUUUGAAAAUGUUAGUAGCAUUGGCAAAUGGCAACUUCCAGGAAUCUUCCUGCUACAAUCAAUCAUUUAGUGAAAUGCCCAAAUGACACAAAGGACCCCGCCAAACAUGAAGUCACAUCAUUUAUUUAUUUGUAAAUGAAAAAUAAGGUUCCGAUCGGAAGAAAUCAGCACCUUAUAAUGCAUGAUUACUCGUAUGUCAAGUUUGGCGAUUAUAAGUCAUCAUCACAAUAACUUUGGACUUUGAUAUUUAAGUCUCCAUUUGGGACCAAUGUAUGUGUUGUGAAUUUGGCUUUGAUAAGAUUAACCAAAUUCUCCCCAAGACACUUAGUUCUGUAUCGAUGGUUUUAAGAAUGAUUAACACAGACUAUUCAGCAACAAAUACACACACGAAUCAAAGUUUUAAAGAUCACAAACAAGACACCAAGCAUAAGUGGUUCAGCACCAAGAAGUGGUGCUUACAUCCACUGGAAACAAAGCAACAGUCUUUCACUAUUUCGUUCACAAAACAAUACAAGAAUAGGAAUUGAUUUACAGAGAACAAGAACUUGUAAACCCCUUUCUCUCUCUAUCUUCUCUCUACUCUUAGUGUUUCCCAAAUCAUGUGAAGACGAUGACAAAGCCUGCACCUUUUUAUCCUCUGUUUCUGGGUUGUUACGCCAACUACCAUUCCCGCCAAAUCUAUCCAAGAAGCUCUGCCUCACGUGCCUGUCGCACGCUGAUUUAAGUGUGAUUAAGAAACGGCACUCAGAGACGUCGUUUCUUGACCCAAGCAAGAGUUAGCUUCAACACAUGUGCAAACCACGUGUACUACUAAAGAUAGAACAGAUGACUGAGAUUAUGUCGGAUCUGGCUUCAGGAACUUCUACAAGUGACAAGUCAUCCGAGACUGAAUCCUCUAAACGACUUGUAGUACUUGAGUUUCGAGUUCACUGUUUAUCAGUAUGGCAGUUGGACAACACAUCACUCAAUUAUAGAGUGUGAAAUAUUGAUAUUGUUCUUAUUAUUUUAUGUAAUGUAUAAACUUUUCCUUUUAUUUGUGUUUGUUUAUUUUUUUUAUACUUAAUAAAUAUAAAUUUAUUUUUUAAAUAUUUAACAAAUAGUCACGACCAGACAAUAUUGCCAGAGAAUAACAAACAAUGACCCAAAUCCUUUUAUCUUACAGAAAUAAUUUCAAGUAGUCACGGCCAAACAAUAUUGCCAGAGAAUAACAAACGAUGACCCAAAUCCUUUUAUCUUACAUAAAUAAUUUCAAUUCACAACAACUAUGACAUUACAUUACCAAAUAAACACUAAAUAUUUUGAUGAUUGUAGUUUAUCUUUCAUUCAUAGCAUGAAGAGUUUGAAAUAUGAUCUCAAAACAAAGAGUACGACAUGUCGUGUUCGGUUUACAGAAGAAGUGUACCCCAUGUCAUCCGAAAACUAAAAGGCGCGUAUGACAACCAGACGCUGUCAUCUCUUAUUUGCUUACACUUUAAGGAAGAAUUCUGGGUUUUGAGUGACAAUUAAAAGCUAGAGUGAGAAUUAGAGAGAGAGUUAUAUAUUCUUAUUUAUUCCUAGUCACUUGCUAUAUUGUGUAGGUCUUUUGUGAUUCCAAUAAUAAAAACGCUCAAUAUUUUUUUUUAUAGAGCAAUAUUUGUUAAAGCAUGAAGAAAGACAGAAAUAUUGUAAAUCCAUCUCAACUUUUCUGUUUAUUGUGGUCGCUGCUAGAGCUAGCUGUUUUCUUAUUUAACAUUGUUCUCUUUUGCCAUCAGCUCUUAGCAUUUUCAUUCAAUCAAGCGACCCUUUUCUUGCUUCAAUUUUUUUUUAUCUCAAAAGCACUUUGAUUCUCUUCAGUUACACUGAUUUUCUCCUUGUUUUGCACAAAUAUCAUUUCUCUUUCCCAUUUAGCCUUGAUUUGCUUCUACUUGACUAUCAAUUGCCCAGUCGUUGAACCUGUUGUAUUUUUAUUUCGUUCACUUCAAAUAGACAAAAAAAAAAAAAAAAGAUGUUGGAUAAAAGCCUAAAAUCUAAUUUGGUUUUUAAUUUGAUUUAGCUAAGAUGUCCAAUUUAAUACUAAGAGCAAUGUUAAGGAUCCCAAUAAUUGAGUCUCAAUUGAUAUGAUAGUCAUUUAUUAGAUGAUCGAAAUAUUAAUUUUACUAGUUAUGAAAUUCAUUAUCCAAUAAAAAAAUGAUACAUAACAAUUGGAUCUCAAAUUAGAAUUCUACUAUCGAAAUUCCUAACAUUAUUCUAAUAUUAAAAAUUCAUCAAAAUAAUAUCUAUUAUCUAAAAAAAUAAAAUAAAAAUCUAAAACCAUAGAUUUACUCUUCAAUCUUCGUGAUUUGGCUGAUUUCUUUUAAAGCUUUGGUUUCUUUAUAUUUUUAUCGGUCAUUUUAACGGUACUGGCGUUUGAUUUUCUGACUAAGCUACUGUUUAGUUCCAAGUUUUGGCAAUUACCCGGACUGCUUUCUUUUGUGUAACAUCGACACAAUGAGGCUUUGCAUCUAAAAGUCGGCAGCCAUGCAACUUCUUGGAAUCUUCGUGCAAGUGUUGGAUAUCGACCGUUCGAUAAUGACGGCAGCAUUGGUCUGGAGUGUUAGAUAUUUUAUUGAUUAAGGAUCACAAAUAAUGGAUAUUGGAUGAGGAUCACAUGUUUUAUGACAAUCGUAAUGUUACUAAUAUAAGUCAAGCAAUUAUUUUUAAAUAAUGAUAUUAUAAUUAAAAAUAAAAAAAUAUUUAUAAUACUUAAACACUAAUUCAGAGUAUUAAUUUUUUUAUAUGAAUUAAUUAUUUGCUGACAAAUAAUUAAAAGGUCAUAGAACAAUAUUUUCAGCUCAAAUUUUUAUUCUAAUAUGACACAACUUGGUACUUUCAUUCCUAUGCUAAAAUAUAUCUAACCUACUAAUAGUCAAGAAAUAUAUCUAUUCAACACAUAUUUGUUAGAAAGAUUAUCUACUAAUUAAUCAUUGAGACGAGAUUACGAAUCUCAACAUAAAUUAGGAUAAAAAUUAAUAUAUUGAAAUUCAGAAUAUUUCAAGCUUGUAAAACUACUUUCAAGCGAAUCUGAUAAAAUUAUUUCAAUACUCGUGGGUGACUCCUUUUUAAACCGCAGAAGGAAAUGAUUUUCUCCUUGUUUGUACAAAUAUAAUUUCUUUUUUCAAUUUUGCCUUGUUUUGCUUCUACUUGAUUAUCAAUUGCACAGCCGUUGACCCUGUUCUAUUUCUAUUUCGUUCACUUCCCUAAAAAAAAAAAAAAGAUGGACAUUUUGAAAAGCAUUGUUCCAGGAGUUGUAAACUGCUUGUCCCCUCACGCACAACGCGAAUUUAGUUACUGGUAUAACUCCGGUGCCAACUUUGAGAAUCUCAAGGCAGAACUCCAUAGGCUCAAGGUUGAAAGAGAAAGCAUUCAGCGCAGAGUUUCUGAGGCUGAAAGAAAAGGUGAAAAGAUUGAAGAGAAUGUUGAGAAAUGGCUGGUUAAUGCGAACGAGAGCAUUGAGCAGGCAGCCAAAUUCAUUCAAGACGAAGAGAAAGCAAAUGAUGGCCGAUGUCUCAUGGGGCUGUUUCCUGAUUGGUUUGCUCGCUAUCAUCAUGGAAAGAAAGCAGAAACAGAGAAGGAGGCCCUUUUUAAACUCCGAGAAGAAGCUGGGAGAUUUGAUGAUAGAAUUUCCUACCGUACCGUUCCGGAGGAUAUAUGGCUCAAGUCUCACAAAGGCUACGAGGCCUUCGAAUCAAGACUUUCUACUUUGAAAGCCAUACAAAAUGCAUUGAUCGUUGUUGAUGUCAGCAUCAUUGGGGUCUACGGCAUGGGCGGCAUUGGAAAGACGACACUGGUGCAGGAGGUCGCCAGGCAAGCUAUGGCAGACAAGCUCUUUGAUACGGUGGUCUUUUCAGAGGUUUCGCAAACUCCAGACAUAAAAAAGAUUCAACAGGAAAUUGCCGAGAAGUUGGGCCUGGAGUUGCACGAGGAAGUUGAAUCUAGAAGAGCAAGUAGGCUAUGUGAGCGAUUGAAAAAUGAGAAAAAGAUCCUUGUGAUUCUGGAUAACAUCUGGAAACCUCUUGAUUUGGGGACUAUUGGAAUUCCUUUUGGAGUUGAGCACAGAGGAUGCAAAUUAUUAUUCACAACAAGAGAUCUUGAUGUGCUGUUAAGGACAGAAUCUGAAAAAAACUUCUCGAUUGGCAUUUUAAAUGAACAAGAAGCCUGGAGAUUGUUCAAGAUAAUGGCUGGUGAUUAUGUUGAAAACCGUGAGUUAAAACCUAUAGCAACAAGGGUAGCCAAGGCAUGUGGAGGUUUGCCUAUUGCCCUUAACCACAGUAGCAAAGGCACUGAGAAACAAAGAGCUGCCUGUGUGGAAGAAUGCGUUGCAAGAACUCCAAACGCCUUCAGAGGCAAGCUUCGACGGAGGAGUACCAGCAGAGGCAUACUCAACAAUUGAGCUGAGUUACAAGUACUUAAGAGGUGAGCAACUCAAGAAAACGUUUUUACUGUGUAGUCUUAUUACGCCAGCACCAAUUAUGGAUUUGUUCAAAUACAGCAUGGGCUUGGGUGUAUUUAAAAGUGUCCAUAAACUAAGAGACUCUUGUUUGUUGCUUGAGGAUGGUGGCAGUAAAUACAUUUCUAUGCACGAUGUUGUUCGCGAUGUUGCCAUUUCAAUUGCAUGUCGUGACAAAAUUGGAUUUGUGGUGAGAAAUGAGGAUGUGUGGAACUGGCCAGAUGCAGAUGCACUAAAAAAAUAUCUUGCAAUUUCUUUUAAAGAUAGUAUUGUUAAUGACAUUCCUGAAGGGUCCGAAUCUCUACAACUUCAACUUCUAGUCAUGUCUCCCAAGAACUCUUUUUCUGUGCCUAAUAUUCCUAAGAACUUCUUCAAAAGGACGAAAAAGCUUCGGGUUUUGGAUUUGACUAGAAUGCGGUUAUUGUCAUUGCCAUCUUCAAUUGGUCUUCUAGUAAAUCUUCAGACACUCUGUCUUAAUCAAAGCAUUUUGGGAGGCAUAGACAUAGCCAUUAUUGGAAAGUUGGAAAAUCUAGAAAUCCUCAGCUUUUUGCAAUCUGAUAUUGUAGAGUUGCCUAAAGCACUGGGUCAACUGACUAACCUAAGGCUGUUAGAUUUCACAGACUGUUUCCGUCUGAAAGUUAUUGCCCCAAAUGUCAUAUCAAGCUUAACCCGAUUAGAAGAAUUGUAUAUGGGUAAUUGCUCCAUUGAAUGGGAGGUUGAAAGAGCCAACAGCAAAAGAAGUAAUGCUAGCCUUGAUGAAUUGAUGCAUUUACCUCGGCUAACCACUCUAGAAAUUGACGUUAAAAAUGACAGUAUGUUACCAGAACGUUUUUUGGCCAGAAAGCUUGAAAGGUUCAAAAUACAUAUUGGAAAUGAGUCAUUCACGCAUCCCAUGAGAGUCAGACAAGCUUGGUUUAAAAGUCGGCGACACUUUUAUAUCGACAGUGAUUGCAAGAGUUUAAGAGCAUUGAAGCUCAAGCUUGCUUUUACGGACAUUUGCUCCAUGAAAUUGCAGGGCGUCAAUAGCGUUGAAUACUUAUUGUUGGACAAGCUGCGAGGUAUCAAGAACGUUCUUUUCAAUUUGGACACGGAGGGCUUUUCACAAUUGAAGGUUCUCUGGGUUCAAAAUAAUCCUGACUUCUUUUGCAUCGUCGAUUCAAGGGCGAUGGUCGCUUGUGAUGCCUUUCCUCUUUUGGAGUCACUUGGCCUUCACAAUUUGAUCAACAUGGAGAGGAUAUGUAUUGAUCGGCUCAAAGUAGAGUCCUUCAACGAACUCAAAAAUAUAGAAGUAUAUAAUUGUGAUAAGUUGAGUAAUAUCUUUUGGCUCUCUACUAAAAAAUGCCUUCCAAGACUUGAGAGAAUUGCAGUUGUUAAUUGCAGCAAGAUGAAAGAGAUUUUUGCAAUUGGGGAAGAAGUUGAUAAUGCAAUUGAGAAGAUAGAGUUUGCUCAAUUAAGAUCUUUGAGUCUGGGGAAUCUUCCAGAGGUUACAAGUUUUUGCCGGGAAGUAAAGACUCCUUCAGCAUCACCAAACAGACCAGCGUCGCAAGAGGAAUCGACGACUAUGUAUAGCUCCAGCGAAAUCACUUUGGAUAUUUCAACUCUGCUUUUCAACGAGAAGGUGCGUAGUGUUGCGGACCGCCCAAUUCGCUAGCCCAAUUGCCCACAAUUUCGGGCUAGAGAGCCAACACAAGGCCAAGAGUGCUAGCUUGGCCCAAUUCCGGAAGGUUCUAGGCAACUCUAGCACAUGUGAACAUGUAAAUAUUCUAGAAUACUUUAUACAAUUCCAGCACAUGUAAAUAGCUAGGAAAUUGUAUAAUACUCUAGAGUUUGACCAAGUUUGGCAAAGUUAGGCAAAGUUAGGCAAAGUUAGGCAAAGCCUCCCCUAUAACUAUGGGAUGGCAUUAGGCAUUUGUAUCCAACAAGCAUUGUAAUCUCUCUUUGUGCAAUACAAGUUUCUUUGGCUCAAUUGCUCUCUUCUCUUGUUCGAGAAUCUCUAGGCUUACUUAGCAACAUUCGGCAAAGUUGUCUAAGUGCCGCACGGGUUAGCUGCGCAAAACACUCAUCCCGUGACAAGUGGUAUCAGAGCUAAGGUUUGCACGCACGCAAAUUAGCUCACGAAGCAAUGGCCAACCCUUCGAACGUAGCACAAGAGGGUGUUGUUGGUGUGGAUGUUCCACCGGAACCAAGCCGUGGCCGAGAGGGAGAACGCGCCCAAGGCAAGACUCGCGGCAAGUCCAAGGCCCUAUCCGUGGAUGCGUUGGAGCCUCGUGUAGGCACUCUCGAAAUAGCAUUGUCCGCCGCUCAAGAUAGCCUCGUGGGAUUGGAGGAAAGAGUGGAUGGUCUCGAGGGAGAAUACGCCAAGUUCACGGUGGCCACAAAAGCUCUCAUCCAUGAGCAAGCGAACAUUCUCCGAGGUGAGUUUCGUUCUUUCCAUGAUGAGUUGCUCAAACUUCGUAGUUUUGUUCAGGACGAACUACGUGCUGUCCGUGCGGAAGUGGAUGAAGUCCGCUCGGAUUGGGCAUGGCACAAGCGCACACUCUCCACAAGUCCAGCUUCCGCAAACUCGAGUGAUGCGCGCCGCAUUGACGUGCCAAAGCCCGACACCUACGAUGGCACACGCAAUGCCACCAUCGUGGACAAUUUCCUCUUUGGGCUGGAUCAAUACUUCGAUGCCAUGGGUGUCCGAGAUGAGGCAUCGAAAGUGGGCACUGCACCCACCUAUCUUAGAGGCGCUGCACAACUAUGGUGGCGUCGCAAGCAUGGCGAGAUGGGCAAGGGCAUUUGCGCCAUCAACACUUGGGCCGACUUCAAGCAAGAACUCCGAAAGCAGUUCGCCCCAAGCAAUGCGGAGAAGGAAGCGCGAGUGCGCUUACGUCGCCUCAAGCAAUCGGGUAGCAUUCGGGACUACAUCAACGAGUUCACUACCCUCAUGUUGGAGAUAAGCGACAUGUCCAACAAGGAUUCACUCUUCUACUUCCAAGAUGGCCUCAAGGAUUGGGCCAAGACCGAGCUUGAUAGGCGUGGUAUUCAAACACUUGACGACGCCAUUGCCGUUGCGGAGUCGCUCACCGAAUACUCUACCCAAUCCAAGGACAAAAAGGCCAACCAAGGCAAAGGUGGGGGAGAGAGUCGCAAGGACAAGGGCAACAACCGCAAAGAUUGGGGGCAGAAAAAGCCGCCUAGCAACAAGAGUUGGCAAGGAAAAUUGGAGGGCAAGAAGGAGGCGCCAAAGCCGCGAAGCCCAUGCUUCAUAUGCAAUGGUCCUCAUUGGGUACGCGACUGUCCGGAGAAGAGGUUGCUUAAUGCUCUUGCUGCCCAACUCAAGAGCAACCCCACAAUGUCCACGGAGGAACCCCAACUCAGCAUGGGUUCUCUCCAACGCCUCGGCGCCCUCAAUCGCCAACAGCCCGCACUCGUCAAGAAAGGGCUCAUGUAUGUAAGCGCAAAGGUAAACGGUCAGUCCGUUCGCGCGCUGCUAGACACGGGAGCAACACACAAUUUCGUGUCCGUAGACGAGGCCAAGCGCUUAGGCCUCAAGGCCACCAAGGAAGGAGGCACAAUGAAGGCUGUGAACUCACCCGCCAAGCCAAUUGCGGGAAUCGCACAAGGCGUGCACAUCACACUUGGUACGUGGAGCGGAAAGCUUGACUUCUCCAUCGUGCCCAUGGACGACUUCAAGAUGGUCCUCGGCAUGGAAUUCUUCGACCAAGUCCAUGCCUUCCCACUGCCCGCUACAAACUCCCUAAGCAUCCUCGACGGGAGUAAAGCAUGCAUGGUACCCACGGAGCGAGGCAAGUCCGAGGAGAAGACACUCUCCGCCAUGCAAUUCAAAAGGGCUUUCAAGAAGGACCCAAGCUUCUUGGUCUCCAUUCGGGAACUAAAUGAGGAAGGAAAUAGCGGAACGUCGCCAAGCCAAGUCCCUCCACAAAUUCAAGCCGUCCUCGAAGAUUACAAGGAUGUGAUGCCUCCAGAACUUCCAAAGAAGCUCCCACCUCCGCGAGAGGUAGAUCAUGCGAUUGAGCUAGAACAAGGCGCGAAGCCACCAGCCUUGGCACCCUACCGCAUGGCGCCACCCGAAUUAGAGGAGUUGCGGAGACAACUCAAAGACUUGCUGGAUGCCGGCUACAUUCGCCCCUCAAAGGCCCCAUUCGGUGCACCGGUCCUCUUCCAAAAGAAAAAUGAUGGAUCGCUGCGGAUGUGCAUCAACUAUAGAGCGCUCAACAAGAUCACCAUCAAGAACAAGUAUCCGAUUCCAUUGAUUGCGGACUUGUUCGACCAGCUUGGCAAAGCGCGGUACUUCACCAAACUUGACUUGCGCUCCGGGUACUACCAAGUGCGCAUCGCCAAGGGAGACGAACCGAAGACAGCGUGCACAACAAGGUACGGGUCUUUCGAAUUCCUUGUGAUGCCUUUUGGCCUUACUAAUGCACCCGCCACAUUUUGCACACUCAUGAACAAGGUACUCCAACCAUUCCUCGACCGCUUCGUGGUCGUGUACUUGGACGACAUUGUGGUGUAUAGCACCACACUCGAGGAUCAUGCCCAACACUUGCAACAAGUCCUCCAAGUACUUCGAGACAAUGAGCUCUUCCUCAAACUAGAGAAGUGCUCGUUUGCCCAACAAGAGGUGGAGUUCCUUGGCCACAAGAUUGCGGGCGGGAAGAUCAUGAUGGAAAAUGACAAAGUAAAGGCCAUCCUCGAUUGGGAGCCUCCCUCGAAAGUACCCGAGCUUCGCUCAUUCCUUGGGCUGGUGAAUUACUACCGCCGCUUCAUUAAGGGCUAUUCAGCCAAGGCGGCACCCUUGACGGAUAUGCUCAAGAAAAACAGAACGUGGCAUUGGUCCGAAGAGUGCUAACGUGCAUUCGAGGAGUUGAAGGCAAUUUCGGAGGAACCAGUCCUCGCUCUUCCGGACCACACCAAGCCCUUCGAAGUUCAAACGGAUGCCUCGGAUUUCGCCAUAGGUGGAGUCCUUAUGCAAGAAGGCCACCCAAUAGCGUUCGAGAGUCGAAAGCUAAAUGACACGGAACGCCGCUACACGGUGCAAGAAAAGGAGAUGACAGCCAUCAUCCAUUGUCUAAGAGUGUGGCGACAUUACUUGCUUGGCUCACACUUCACGAUCAUGACGGACAACGUGGCGACAAGCUACUUUCAAACUCAAAAGAAGUUGAGUCCGAAGCAAGCACGGUGGCAAGAUUUCCUUGCGGAAUUCGACUAUCGGCUAGAGUACAAACCGGGGAAAGCCAAUGUUGUUGCGGACGCUCUAAGCCGCAAGGCGGAAUUGGCAACACUUAGCAUGAGCCAACCGAAGUCCGACCUUGUCUCACGCAUCAAGGAAGGCCUCCAACAAGAUCCGCUAGCAAAGGAUUUGCUGGAGAAGGUGCUCGAGGGAAAGACAAGGCGGUUUUGGCAAGAGGAAGGCAUCCUCCUCACCAAGGGAGAUCGGCUGUUCGUGCCAAGGUGGGGAAACUUGCGGAAGGAAGUAAUCAAGGAGUGCCACGACUCUAAGUGGGCUGGUCACCCAGGAAUCGAGCGCACCACCGCACUAGUUCAAGCCUCGUAUUUUUGGCCGCACAUGAGGGACGACAUUGAGGCAUAUGUGCGAACUUGUCUUGUGUGCCAACAAGACAAAGUGGAUCAUCAACUUCCAGCGGGAUUGUUGGAGCCGCUACCACUAGCAACAAGGCCAUGGGAAAGUGUCUCCAUGGACUUCAUCACAUCGCUGCCCAAGUCCGAAGGUUGCGGAAGUAUCAUGGUCAUUGUCGACCGAUACAGCAAGUACGCCACAUUCAUUGCUGCACCAGUCGAUUGCAAAGCGGACGAGGCAGCCCGCCUAUUUGUCAAGCACAUUGUGAAGCUUUGGGGAGUACCGAAGAGCAUUGUGAGCGACCGAGACCCUCGGUUCACUGGACGCUUUUGGACGGAACUCUUCAAAAUGUUGGGGACCGAUCUCAAGUUCUCGACAAGCUUCCACCCACAAACGGAUGGGCAGACCGAGCGCAUUAAUGGCCUCCUCGAGAUGUACCUGAGGCAUUAUGUGAGCGCUCACCAGCGGGAUUGGGCGAAGCUACUCGACAUCGCCCAAUUUUCUUAUAACUUGCAGCGAAGUGAGGCUACGGGCAAGAGUCCGUUCGAGAUCAUCAUGGGAUUCCAGCCCAUGACCCCCAAUGCCAUAGCCUCGACUUACGGAGGGAAAAGCCCCGCGGUACACAAGCUCGCCCGCGAACGGCAUGAGGAAGCGGACAUCACACGAGCCUACCUCGACAAAGCCGCGAGGAAGAUGAAGAAAUGGACGGAUACAAGGAGACGACAUGUUGAGUACAAGGAAGGUGAUCAAGUCAUGAUCAAGCUCCUACCCCAACAAUUCAAGACUUUGCGGAAAGUUCACAAGGGGUUAGUGAGGCGCUACGAGGGACCCUUCCGAGUUGUUCGACGUGUGGGCAACGUCUCGUAUCAACUCCAACUUCCGCCAAGACUCAAGAUCCAUCCGGUCUUCCAUGUGAGCCUUCUCAAGCCAUAUCACGAAGACAUGGGAGAACCAAGUCGCGGAGAAUCGAGGCGCGCGCCAACUGCCGUUGUCACCGCGUUCGACAAAGAUGUGGACUACAUCAUUGCGGACCGAACGGUUUCGAGGAGGGGCGUGCCAGCACAUAGCGAGUACUUGGUGAAGUGGAAAAACCUCCCCGAGAGCGAAGCCACUUAUCGCUGAGCACAUCCAGCACUUCAAGCACGAGACCGCGACGAGGACGCCACGAGCUUAGGUGGGGGAGGAUGUUGCGGACCGCCCAAUUCGCUAGCCCAAUUGCCCACAAUUUCGGGCUAGAGAGCCAACACAAGGCCAAGAGUGCUAGCUUGGCCCAAUUCCGGAAGGUUCUAGGCAACUCUAGCACAUGUGAACAUGUAAAUAUUCUAGAAUACUUUAUACAAUUCCAGCACAUGUAAAUAGCUAGGAAAUUGUAUAAUACUCUAGAGUUUGACCAAGUUUGGCAAAGUUAGGCAAAGCCUCCCCUAUAAAUAUGGGAUGGCAUUAGGCAUUUGUAUCCAACAAGCAUUGUAAUCUCUCUUUGUGCAAUACAAGUUUCUUUGGCUCAAUUGCUCUCUUCUCUUGUUCGAGAAUCUCUAGGCUUACUUAGCAACAUUCGGCAAAGUUGUCUAAGUGCCGCACGGGUUAGCUGCGCAAAACACUCAUCCCGUGACAGUAGGCUAACAUUUUCUUUAUUCUAUCAUGCGUUCUGUUUUGAUGUCAUACGUGGAAAAUAAUUAAAUCAUUUAAAGAAUUGAAAGAAAAUGAAAAAAAAAGGAUAAAAAGAAUCUCACGCGCUCACUAAUUGAGCUCUUAACAAGUAGUAUGAAUUAGAAUGCGUACUCAGCUGUCAGUUGGAAAUUGAUUCAGACUUGUAUUAAUUUGUAAUCAAAGAAGAAAAUUUCAACAAGUGCUUCCCAUAUGGAUAUUGGAUCUAACGAGAAAUUCUUAUUUUUUUAGGUUGCGUUGCCUAACUUGGAGGCUUUGGAGAUAUCUGCAAUUAAUGUCGACAAGAUUUGGCACUACAAUCAUCUUCCGGCGGCCGUGUUUCCUCACUUUCAAAGUUUAACACGAUUGAUUGUGUGGCGUUGUCACAAAUUAAAAUACAUAUUUUCAGCGUCUAUGAUCAGAAGCCUUAAGCAGCUCCAACACCUACGUAUACACUACUGUAAGAAUUUACAGGAGAUCAUUUCUGAAAACAGAACAGAUGAAGUGAUCCCUCAUUUUGUCUUUCCACAGCUCACCACUCUGAGACUCGAAGGUCUACCAAAACUUAGAUGUUUGUACCCUGGAAAGCAUACUUCGGAAUGGCCCGCACUAGAAAUUCUUGUAGUGUAUCGUUGUGACAAAUUAAAGAUAUUCGCUGCAGAUUUAUCGCAGAAUAAUGAGAAUGAUCAACUUGGCAUUCCUGCACAACGGCCCCCAUUGCCAUUGGAAAAGGUAUGAAGCCAAGUUCUAGAUUUUUUAUCAAUAGCUUAUUUUUAACUUCGAAAAAUAUGACAAAGCAUCGAUAAAUUAAUACUCAAUAAAUUGAAAACUUUUAUUAUACAAUAAUCUUUGCUAGUCUAGAUUAAGAGAUCAAUGUGGUAGAUUAAUAAUUAUAUGAACUUUUUUUGGUAUAGCAUUUGUAAAAGAAUCUUGAGUCUUUCCAUAUAGAAGAACUUACAAAAUAAAUUAGUAAUUUAUUAUUGUGCAAUAAAAUAAUUUCGAGUCAGUAUAAAUCAACCUUUUUUCCCUAAUUUCUUUUUUACCUCUAAAAUUAACAUAUAAAAAAUCAUUUAAUAAAUUUUAUCAAUAAUUCAAUUUUUUUUUUAAAAAUAUAAUAUAAAACAAAUACUAUAAAGUCACUGCGUGUCAUUGGAUUACUCAAAAUCAUUUGAGAGAUCAUCAAUUGACCUUAUCAGUUAUUAUGAUUGACGAUGAUCAGAUCUUACCCAACUUGAUGGAACUAUCACUAAGUGGAAAAGACGUGGAGAUGAUUUUGCAGGCCGAUUUCCCACAACACCUUUUUGGCAGUCUUAGAGAACUAGAGAUUGCUGCAGAUGACUCAGCUUGUUUUCCAAUCUGGAACGUACUGGAGAGAUUUCACAAUCUCGAAAUACUCACACUGUGUGAUUUUUCAUCCCACGAAGAGCUAUUUUCGAUGGAAGGAUGCUUAGAGAAACAUGUGGGGAAGUUGGCAAUGAUAAAAGAAUUAGAGCUGUACCGGCACUAUCAUCUGAAGCAGCUGUGCAAACAAGACUCCAAACUUGGCCCCAUUUUUCAGUAUCUUGAAAUUCUAAGAGUAUAUCAUUGUCAAAGUCUGUUAAUUCUAUUGCCAUCAUCAUCGGUAUCUUUUGGGAACCUAACAAAACUUGUAGCUUUCGGUUGCAAGGGAUUGAUACACUUGGUAACAUCCUGCACAGCAAAAACUCUAGUGCAACUCGUCACGGUGCGUAUACAAGGAUGCAGAGCAAUGACAGAGGUGGUAAUAAAUGACAAAGAAGGAGUUGAAAAAGAAGAGAUUGUUUUCAGCAAAUUGAAGGCGUUGAUUCUGUGUGAUUUAGAAAGUCUCACAAGUUUCUGCUCUGCCAAUUACACCUUCAGAUUCCCAUCUUUGGAAUAUCUGGAAGUGAUUGGUUGUCCCAAGAUGAAGAUUUUCACUACAGGAGAAUCAAUCACGCCUCCGAGAGUAGACGUCCAGUAUGGAGAGACAUCGAAUCAACGGCGUUGGGCUAAUAAUGAUCUAAACACAACCAUACAACAAUUACAUGCUGAGAAGGUACGGAUAUACAUAUUACUCUCUAUCUCCCAUGAUAAAUUUUUACAAAAUUUGCUUUUUCUUUUUAAAUAAAAUAUAGAUAAAAUGUUUGUUAUAAAGUAAAAGUUUAAAUUGAUGAAUAAGAAUUUUAUUUUCAGCUGUUGGCGGGGUCGUCGAUAUACUCUACGCAGUACGACUAAUUUCAUAGGCUUCUUAUGACUUGGAGUUGCGAAUUUUAUUUAAUUUAUUUAAUCCCAUGGCUUGUUUCGCAAUUUCAUCUUAAUUAUUUAGAAUAGGUCCCUCGGUUUACUGUUAAACUAGGAAAUAGAACCGCGCUUCGCGCGGCUUUAAAAAUAUCAAAUUAAAAAUAAAAAAUUUGAUGAAAUUCAAAUUUCUUAAGAUAACCUUCUGAUCUCUUCUCAAAAGGAAGAUUAAACAAGUUAAUUUUGUAUGUUUAUUUCAAUAAUAAUAACGAUCGCACAUAAUAAUAAUAAUAAUAAAAAUAAUAAUAAUAAUAAUAAUUGGCACCUGACGACGUUGAGGCUCAUGAGCAUUCCACAAAAUAUAAGUUUCAAUUGCAUCGAGCCCUCCAUCCUUUGCCUUCUGUAUAAGAUCUGGCCACAUCUGCACAAAUAUAACGCAUAUAGAAAUAAAUCAUAUCAAAUUUUACAUAUUUUAAGAAUAAUAAUGCUGUUGGAUCCAAAAAUAUUGCCCAUAAUUUUUCCUAAACAUGAAAGCGCACCGUUUUGAAUGUGGGAUCAUGUUUGGCUUGUUAGGAAAAAAAAUUAAGAUAAUAUUUUUGCAACAAAGUAGCUUUUUUUUUUUUGGUUAAAAGAAGAAGAAAAUGUGAAAGUGCAAGUGAUUUGAGAAAUUGUAAAUUAAUUAUUUGCAUACAGUACUUGUGGACUACUGCGAAAAUAUAAUGAAUUGCACCAGAGAAGAUAACUCGUCGUUCUCCAUUAAUUAUAAUGGUAGUUGCAUCAUAAUCGACUUGUGUUGCUGAUGAUGACAAGCAACUUAAAUUUAGAAUAAGAAGAAUUAUGCCUUAGUGGCAUUGUUGAGGGAAGAUGAAAGAACCUCUCUUCCUAUGUUAAUUAAUUAAUGUAUUUUAAGCCGCUAAAGUUUAAUUGCUAGUAUAAUAAAAUUUGAAGAAGCCAAAAGACACUAAAUAAAAGGUUGCAUAAUUAAAUAUGAGAUUAUGGCAUUAAAAUUAGGCCCUUAUGACAUUGUUGAAGGAAGAUGAAAGAGCCUCUCUUCAUAUGUUAAUUAAUUGAUGUAUUUUAAGCUACUAAAGUUUAAUUGCUAGCAUAAUAAAAUAAAUGAAUGUUUCAAAAGAUUUAUUAUUAAUUAUUAUUCAUGAUUAUAUAUUGUUGGAUUUCAAUAGAAAGAGGAAGAGACAUGAAAAUUAAACUUAGGCCCUAGCUGCAUUAUUGAGGGAAGAUGAAAGAACCCCUCUUCCUAUGUUAAUUAAUUGAUGUAUUUUAAGCAACUAAAGUUUAAUUGCUAGCAUAAUAAAAUAAAUGAAUAUUUCAAAAGACUUAUAAUUAAUUGUUAUUAAUGGUUACAUAUUGUUGGAUUUAAAUAGAAAGAGGAAGAAAUAAUGAUGCCACAAAUCUUAAAUAUUUAAUGUUUAUAGAGUUUGAAGAAGCCAAAAGGCACUAAACAAAAUAUUGAAUAAUUAAAUAUGGGAUCAUGACAUUAAAAUUGGGCUCUAAUGGCAUUGUUGACAUUAAAAUUGGACUUAUAAUUAAUUAUUAUUAAUGAUUACAUAUUGUUGAAUUUAAAUAGAAAGAGAAAAAAAGUACAAAGAAUAUUCACCAAUAUUUUAGAUAUUUUAGAUAAUAGAAAAUAUAAAAAGAUGAGGAAUGAUAUAUAUUAAUAAAGUUACUAUUUAUUAAAUGAGUUAAAUACAAUCAAAUUAAUUAUGAGAAGAUGAAAAGCUAAAUCUAAAAAAAAUUCUCUAUUUAUUAGAUAAUAGAGAAUAUACAAAGAAGCAAAAUGGUGAUGCCACAUCACCUCCUCAAGUCCUAGCUUUAUAUAGAUAUAUAGAUAUAUAGAUAGAUAGAUAUAGAUUUGCAAUGCAAUUUUAAUGAUCCCUUCAGACUUUUAUGGACAGAUUUUGCAUAAUUGAAUGUCUUUUUAGUCUAGUUUAAUUUGAGUCUUUUUCUUCUUCUUUUUUUUUUUUUUUUGGGAGCUCCCCUCGUCUUCUAAAAUUUUAUAACUCCUUGCAUACGUUUUUAUGAUAAAAUUUCAUUAAAAGCCUUCGUAUUUUAUAAUUCGUUGAAAACAUGCAUACUUUUUCCAUUCUUUCUUUGCCAAUUAUUUAUUCUCAUCAUUGCUGUUCUUUUAUUUUAGUUUGUGUUCUGUUUGUUCAUUGGGUUUGCUUUUCUUCACGCCUAUAUUUCCUUGGAAAGUUAGAAGGCAAGGAAAGUACUUAGAAAAUGUUCUUGUUCUUCCCUAUGAACACAUAAUUAAAGAACAGCUGAAUAUCAUUCAUCGGACUAAAAAAAUUUAAAAAAAAAAACGUAAUCAGUGCAUUGUUCCUAUAACAAAUGCUUAAACCAUCAAAUGUUAGCUAUGAACAAGUAUAUUGUGGAAAUAUUGUUUGAAAAUAUUUCAUAAAAAAUCAAGUUUUCACAAACCAAAAAGGGACUAAUUUGGUCUAGCAUAUUCAUAAUAUUUUCUCCACUGUUCCUGUUAAAAUUUCUCUACUCUAUGAUUGCAGAAUGUUUGGAUACUGAUGACGAUUUAAGUCACUCUUCUUCUGUGCGCAAUUUGAAAUAAGGUCGUUUUUCUUUUUUCCUCUAUUCAAAGUUUACAUUCUGAGGGGUUCCCGUUUCCAUCUUCGUGAUCUUCUUGUGAUUCACUGCAUCGUGUCGCUACAUCUGUGAUAGUGUGAGUUGCAACCUGUCUGUUUUCUUUGUUUGAUCAUUGUAUGUAUUAAAAAAGUUUACAUUUCAUUCUAGAUAAGCUCUUUGUAUGUAUUAAAAAAAUUUUAUUCUCAAUAUAUAUGACUCAAUGAGAGGUCUUUUAUUAUAUAUAUGUCAUGAAUUUCUAUUGUAUUUUGAGAUUUGAUGGUGUAUUAUUGUCUCAUUGCAAGGUCUUGUAAUCACUCUGAUUCUCAUUUGAGGAGGUUGGUCUCGUCUAUGUGUAUGUAUUUAUAUCCACAAGAAAUUUGAUAAAUGGUCUUGUCGUUUUCUCAUUAAAACAUCUAGUGCUUCAUGGGUUGGAGGGCUACUAGGCAUCAGGGCCAGAUCUUUAAACUCAAAGUUCUUCGUGUCAUUUACCCAUUUGAUUAUCAAAUAGUCAUAAAAGCAUAUAAAUUCAAGUUAGUGUAUCAUUUUUACACAAUAUACUAAAACUAACACAAGAACUUGGCCGACAUUUUCAGUUGAAUAACUCAGACCCCCGAACUUCCUCGGGCUGACAUCCCAAAGUGAAAAUGUCUAAAAAAAUAGUUGCAACAUUUACCCAUUUGAUUAUGAUUCAAAAAAAAACACAAACGGAGAAAUUAUUGGGAUUGUUAAGAUAGUUAAAAUGGUUAGUUAUUGUUUCAGUUUGUUAAGCAAGAUAGGUAGAGUUACUGACGUGUUAGCUGAGCUGGCAUAAGUUAUUCAACUCUCAGGUGCUUAGAAACCUUGUAUAAAUACAUUUGUAAUCAGCUAAAGAAUGGAUGAUUCAGAUUUAUUCAUCAAAUCCAGCUCUUAGAUGAUCUCUGUUCUUUCUUUCAUUUUCUCUCAUUUUCUUACUUAUCAAACAGAUUAGAAACUUUAACUUGGUAUCAGAGCCUGAAAGGUUUGGUAGUUGUUCUGUUUUAUCUUCAGUUUCAUUUUGUGAUCACAGAAACGUUAGGACUUGCUUGCAUGAACGCACAUUAAACCACGGAAAUUUUGUCAGACAUGCACGCAAAUGAAAUUUUAUCAGCAGUCUUGUAAUUUUCUAUUUUUGUUGUUGUCGUCAUUUUUUUACUACUAGUACUGUUUGAAAUUCUAGUAUUUUGGAUGUGAAAUUUAUUAUAUUAUGAUAGGUCCCAGUCAGAAUUAGCGGAAACAACAAGUAAAUAAUUUGUUCUUCUUAGGGUAAGAACUACCGCAAUUGCUAAUUGAAUUAGAUAAAAGUCUGAUAUCUUUUUAUUGAAUUAUUCGAGUCUAUUUAUAGAACAAAAUUAAUGAAAUAAAGUAGUUAAAAUCAAUUAAACCACUUAGCUAUAAUUUCGAAGUAAAUAAUAAUCUUAAAGGAAUCAUGAUUAAAUCUGAAUUCUUCAUCAAUACGGCUUGACUUAGUAAGCUUUCCGUUGAUUUUGUGAAGAGUCCUUGAAGGAACGUGAUGCCCACCUCAUGCAUGGCUUGCAUGUUACUUGCAUGUGCCCAUACAUUUUCGUUAUUGGCUUGCAUGGUUGCUUGCAUGUGCCCAUGCAUAUUCGUCAUAUUUGUUGUUGGGUUUUGCUUCUCACUUGGACUUGCGUAUACUCUUAUCAUAUUAGAUAUUCGACAUAUAUAUGAUGCUGAAUACAGGGUAUGUGUUGUCUAAAUUUAUUUUAUUUUGUUUGCUUCACAUCCAAUUUUCAAAAGCUUUGAAGAAUGCUAAGAGAAGGAGCAAAGGGCUAAAGAGUCAAAUGUAACAUUGCUAUUAAUUUGUUAAUUGCCAUCAUUUUUAAUUUUUGCCCUGCUUGUUCUGUUUACUCAUUUAUUUCACUUGGUUUUGCUCCACGUCUAUCUUUCCUAACUUAGGAAGGCAAGGAUUUUGAAAGUUCUGAAGAAGAUUCAGGUCACUCGUGUGAAUAAGAGCUGUGUUACUGUUUAAAAGUUUUCAUGCUCUGGAAUAAAAUUUGCUUUACUGUGUUACUGGUCAACUUCAUUAUUCUACUAAUGCUUUACUUCAUCUUCAUUGUAUCACUACAUUGACAGCGUUGACAGUGUAAGAGUCGUUUUCACGAUUUUUAAGAAAUUUUGAUCACAUUAAACUUUUGAUCUGAGUUCAUAACAAAAAUCAAAACGGCGCAUGACAUCAAGAUUAUGAUGAAUCAAAUUGAACUCCCAAUACGUUAGUUCAUAAAAAAUGCUUUUCUUCUUCCAAGUAAUCUUAUCAUUUCUUUCAUUUUAUUCAUUCUCCUCUUUUCUCCUCUUUUCAAGUCUUCAAUCUUAUACUCAGUAAGUACAUUACUGAACUGCUUUUUCACCUCAGCUCCAGACAACCGAGAAGGUGCUUGUCCGGUUGUCCCCACUCUCUAGUUUUAUCAGAUGGCACUAUAUUUUCGGAACCUAUGAUUUGUUGGUAAAAAUCGACGGUGACCCACGUGACAAUUUUCUACUAUGUAUCAACCAAUUAGAUCUAGUGUUUUGUUGGCAAACAAGAAAUGCUUAUUUACCUUUAAUACUCCACCCAAACAAGUUGGCAUAUGCUAGAAAGUCGGAGAUAGUCCAUAACAAUGCUGCGUGUGACUUGAACAUUUGAUUAUGUGAUGCAUUAUGCAUCAUUCCAACCAUACUAGCAUCACUACCCGAGUCAUGACUAACCUGUUUCUUAGUUAGAUUUCAAAGAUGAAGAUGGCUCACCCUCCAAUAUCCAGUUUUAAUACUUUAACCAAUAGCCAUUUAUAAUGAUAUGGUCUCUUGCCACUUUCCUUAUAAGGAAAUAUCGAUAUUACGACACUUCUUAGAAGGACAAUAAAUUCUUUUAUCACCAACAACAUUCUCAAAUGCAAAAUCUAUAAAUUUUUUGACCCAUCAGUAUAUGAAUUGGAUAUCUAUUUGGCAAACCAACCCAACUCUGGUCCAUGACUAUGUCCUUUUAAUGCACUAGAAAAAUUAGUUAAAUAAAUCACUUUAAUUCUUCAUUUCUACUACUAAACAAGAUAUUUUCAUGUGUGCGCAGUUUCGCAAUAUAAUAAAAAAAAUUAUUAUACAAUUUUAUGGUUAAUCUCAUUAGAACGUUUAUAUAUAUGGAAGCAAGCAAAGCCACAAGAAUCAGAGAAAAAGAUGUGAAAAUUAAAGUAUAUAUACAACAAUAAUUAAUCUAAAAAACAGUUUGCAAUACCUUCUGUAAAGAAAUAUCCUCACCCACUGCUGAGAACUUCACUUGGCUAUCAAUUACAGAUAUAUAAAGCCUGUUACCUAGAAACAAAAAAUUAGGUCAGCCAGCUAAAACAUAUUUAUAAACCAACAUUGGAGAUAGUACUCCAUUUAUAAACAAAAUUACAAGACUCAAAACCAAGUCGACUCAGCAAAAUCAUAACCGAUUACAUUCAUCCCACUCAGCUCCUCCACUCCCAUCAAUAUAUCCAACAUUCCCUUCAUAUUUACAAAAGGUAAGUGGUCCUAUAUAUCCCACUCAAGAAUGCAUAAGUUUCUUCAAUCUUAAGUAUCUAAAGUUUUCCUCUACGUUUAUAGAAACUUCGGAAGCAUCUCCCUAUAGUUCUUCAAGUACACGACAUAGAUAUAUGAAUGUUUAUGUGUUAUGCCAAAACAACACAUGACACCCAUUUGUCUAGUAUGCACCCAGAGAACAUGAGGAGCAGCUGCUGAAAAACCCAUUUUUACGUGGGAAAAAAAUUUCAGGCACUAGCUGCCAUAGAAAUCUAUGCAUUACCAAACUGUCCAAGCCUAGAUAUUUCAAGAAUUAUUAAUAGACAUAAGAUCCUCACUAUCAUCCAAAAGAUGACACUAAUAAAACAUGUGUCUAUUAAUAAUUUCUUAAAGGAGUUUAAGCUUUCAAUGCAUGUAUCAAAAGUUUAAAAUUGAAUCUGAAACUUGAAUAACACAUAAAAAUCAUAAAUCUCUUCAAUUUAUUCCUAAUAAAAUGUAGCAUUUUUUCACAUUUCAUUUCUUAAGCAAAACCAUAAAAAAUUACAAACAAUAAAUACAUUUUCUAGCACUGAUGCACAUUAUGUUUACUGAGCAAUAAGUUUUAAGUCAUUCAUAUUAAAAUACUUCUUCCUAUUCUAUCAACAAAUAACUAGUACGUACACACAAUUAAUAAAUUAAAUGUAACCUGGUUGUGAAUCUUGCAAAGUCUUCCUAUUUUUUUUUUUUUUUUUUGGUGGGGGGGGGGGGGGAGGGGGGAGGGGGUGGUUAUGCUCAUUUGUGUGUUGUUAACAGAAAUUGAUCCAAAGCCUCAGUUUUAAUUAGCUUCAUUAUAGCCAAUGAUUAGGUGUUUAAAAACCAAUGAAUAUUUUUUAUAAGAAAUCAACAAUAUUGUUGAAAGAAAAACCAAAUAAAAAUAAUAAAGCAAUGCAUAGAUUAAGGCUCUUUAUUAUCUAAUAACUAAUCAAACUAAGUUGUGGGUAAAGGAGAAUAUGUUUGUUUGGCCAAUAAUAAACUCAAGGAAUCACCAAUAAUCACCUAGUUACUAUUCCUUAUGCCAUGCAAUGUAAUGGCGUCGGUAAUGGCGACAAGGCAGGCAAUAACUAGCUAGCUAGUUAUGAUAGUUGCUUAACUUAACCUACUGGAAAUCUGAAGACCAAAAUGAAGAAACUUUGCCUAGAACUAGAAUAGGAAAACAUUCAUACCCAAAACCAAUAUACAUGAUUAAGAAACUUGAUUAUAUGUAUAUUUUUGUUUGCCACACCAAAUCCCACUAUUUCCAUACUCAUAAGCACAAAAAACCAUCGCAAAAAUGAAUGACCAUAUAAAAUAAAAUAGGUCGCAGGACAUUGAGAAUAGGACAAUAUGAUUUAUGUACUGUAAAAUAACUAUAUCUGCAGUCAACUAUAUUUCUGUUAGAACUCUAAAGUUUUCCAUUAAAUUUUUUUCCCUGUUAGGUAAACCACUUAACUGAAACACUUAAGCAAGAUUGACAAUCAUAGACAUAAAAGUAUUAAUAGGCUCAUUCAAGUGAAAUGAGCAUUAUUUCACAUAUCCUUUAGGCUUUUAAGUCAUUUAGAAGUCAUUCAUGUUAAACAAUUUCUUCAUAUACUUUCAAUAUAAUUAGUACAUACACAAUUAAUUAAUUAAAUAAAUCUGUUUCAGCUAGCACAGGAACUUAAGCAAUCAGAGCUAUUAGUUAUAGCUAGGACUUGAAUGAGGCACCUUUCAAAGUUCAAGAGGAGCAUCUGAACAGAAUGAAAGCAGUUUGUAGAAAUGGUAGUGAUGCUUUACAUCUACAUGCUCUUACACAAUAUGAACUUUCAUUUAUUCAAGAACAUAACACUAAUCCAAGCUCUUACUCUACAAGUCAAUUCAGUUUGUAGAUGCAAGCCAUUGUAAAAACUUUUGUGUUAUAAUUUCCGUAAAUGGAACAUGACAUUACUAAUAUAGAAUCAGCAAUGUUAUAUAACUUAUCAGACAAUAUAACAAGCACUUGGCGAGCAUAUAAGAUAAACUAAAACAAGUUAAUUAGAAAAUGAAACUAAAACCCAAGCUCCGCUAUUCAUUGUAGAAGCUUUAAACAUAAAAUUAAACUAAAUCUAAUGCCAAAACAUUAGAAUGGAUGUUGGAAUUAAAGCUAAAUUCAAUAGUAAUCCAAAUGAAUCCAUUUGAACUUUGUAAACUCCGCAGAACAAAAUUAAUUUGAGUGAGCAAACUCACCAAUGGCACAAGAACAGAAGGGCUUCAACUUCUAGGAACAAAAAACAUUGCCGGUGGGACAAAAAUUGACAUUAAUGGCUACAAUACGAAUUAAAGAGAUCAAAACCUAUAAUUACAAGCUAAGAAAGAGAGGAAACUCAUAAUCACAAGCUUACCUGAAACGAAGAGAGAGAAUAAGAUGAAGAAGAAGAUCGCUGCCGUUUUACGCCAUUCUCCGGCUACCAGUAAGGUUUAGGAUGCUGGCCAGGCACGAGAGAGAAUUUGGGACUUUGGUCUUCAAAAUAUUGACUCCAGCAAAUAGUUUUCUAUUUAGAAACAAAUUUAUAACUCUACCGUCACUCUCUACCGUCACGUGGUUAGUAACAUAAGUGAGAGCAGUCUAGCCGUCACAUAAACGGUCACAAAAGCAACUGGCUGUUACAAGUUUAGGAAUGGCAGAUAUUGCCGCGGGGACAUGACCCUCGAGAUUUUCCCAAUUCAGGUGGGUACAUAAUUUUUUACUUAAUUUUUUAUUUGAAAAGGAGACGGAGAUAGUUUUUUUACCUAAUUUCUUAUUCAGAGAAAGAAUGGGGGAUCGGCAGAAUCCCUAUUCUCUUCUAAUUUUUUGAUUUAAUUUUAUUUUUUAAAAUUAUUUGUAAAUAAAUAAUAAAAUAUAAAUAAUAAAAUAUUAAAUAUUAGUAUAAAUAAAAAAAUAAAAUAAUUAUAUUAUUAAAAUUUAGGCCUAAUUGACUACAUUAAUAUUUGGAUGAGAAAGUUAUGCUUAGGAUGAAAGAUUUUAAUAUUUUGAGUUGGUGUAAAAUAAAUGUCUAUAGAUAUCCUAUACUGGCAUGAAUUGCUAGAGAUAUUUUGGCAAUUCUAAUUACAAAUGUUGCUUCUGAAUUAGCUUUUAGCACCAGUGGUAGAGUACCGUAACACGCUUUAUUCAAGCACAUUGGAGGCUUUAAUAUGUUGUCAAAGUUGACUACAAGCUUACAAUGACAGUAUGAGUUUAUUUUACAUUGUAAUUAUAUUAUAUAAUUAUUAAUAUUUUCACUUAGAAUUUACAUUACUUAUAUUAUUUUUGUUGUUUUAAAUUUGAAAUCUGAGGCUAUCUCUCAAUUUGUCACAUUCCUCGAGGAAGAACAAGAAGAGUAGGAGACACAAGAGGUAAAUACUUUUAUUAGAAAUAUUGAUUAAGUAUCUAUAUUCAUUUCAUUUAUCUCAUUGUUGAUAUAAAAGUAAUUUCUUUUUUUUUAUUAUAUGAUUUUGAAGAUUGCCGAAGAUAAUUAUUAUGGUGAUUUAUACUUUGUAAUGUGACUUUUGUAAUAGAUUAAUGUUAAUGUAAGAUAUAUCGUCAAACUUUAUUUUUAUUUUUAUUUUUUAUUUUAAUAUGAUUAAAUUAAAAUUUAAAACUAAAAACGUAUCAGUUAUUCGAGAAUCGAGGACCUUUAAGGAUCCCCUAUUAUUAUUUGGGGAGGGGAGGGGGAUUCCCUAAAGCAAUUUUGUGAAUGGGAAGAGGCCAGGGAUAUAUACAGAAUAUCGAGAAUGGGUACGGGGAGGUCGGUCUCUUCCCCUCCCCUUCCCAUUGCCAUUCCUAACAAAGUUGGCAAUACAUGUACGGGCCGCUUUUGUAAAAUUGCUUUAAGGGUCGUUUGGGAUUGCUUUUGGGAAUAGCAUGCAAGAUAUAUAUAAAAAAUAAAAUCGUAGAAUAACUUUUACCUCUAAUUCGAUUUUUUCUUCUUUUUUGUAAAUUAUUAUGCAUUUAUAUUAAAGUCACUGUGUAUGAUUGGAUUAUUAAAAGUUAUUUGAGAGAAUAUGAAUUGACUUAAUAAGUUAUUACGUGAUUGAUGAUGAUCAGAGCUUACCCAACUGGCAUUAAGUGGAAAAGACUCGAGGAUGACUUUGCAGAGCGAUUUCCCACAACACCUUUUUGGCAGUCUUAAACUACUACAAACAGUGGAUGAUGACUCAACUUGUUUUCCACUUGAUUUACUUGAGAGAUUUCAUAAUCUGGAAACUCUCAUACGGCGUCGUUGUUCAUGCGAAGAGGUAUUUUCGAAUGGAGGAUACUUGAAGAAACAUGUGAGGAAGUUUACAAUGAUAAAACAUUUAGAUCUGCACAAAUUUAAUCAUCUGAAGCAAUUGUGGAAACAAGACUCCAAAUUGGACUCGUUUGUUCAAUGCCUUGAAAUUCUAAAUGUACAUUAUUGUCAAAAUCUGUUAAUUCUUUUGUCUUUGCUGCUAAUUCUUUAAUUCUUUUCGGUUCUUAAGUUUCUCUGUGAUUUGUUCUGGAUUGAUUCUUUUUGCAUCUUGGUUGUUUGAUUUGCGAUCUUGGCGAGUAUUUGGAGUUGAUCAUUAUCGAAUCUGUCACUCCAAACUCUACAGCGACUCUUAUCAAUGUUGGUAUAUGGAUGCAGAGCAAUGAGAGAGGUGGUGAUAAAUGACGAAGAUGGAGCAGCAAAUUUUGAAGAAGAGAUUGUUUUCACCAAAUUGAAGAUUUUGUAUCUGUAUGAUUUGGAUAGUCUCACAAGUUUCUGCUCUGCCAAUUACACCUUCAAAUUCCCAUCUUUGGAAGAUUUAUCUAUAAUUGGUUGUCCCAAGAUGAAGAUUUUCACUAAAGGAGAAUUAAACGCGCCUCUCAGAGUAAACUUCUACUAUGGAGAGAGAGACGAUCAACAGCCUUGGGCUAAUAAUGAUCUUAACACAAUCAUACAGCAUUUACAUGCUGAGAAGGUACGAAUAACUCACUAUCACCAGUGGAAAAAUUUUAUAAAAUUUCUCUUUUAAAUAAAAUGCACCAAAUAGAUCAGAUAUUUGUUAUAAAGUAAGUUUAUGAUCACGUACUGGCAGAUGGGAUACAUAUGUGCUUCAUUCUUGAAACUCUACCCUAUUUAAAAUUGAUAUUUUCACAAGAGUUAGAGAAUCCUAUUCAUUCAAUUAUCCAAAAUCAGAGAAUCUUAUUCAUUCAAUUACAAAAUUUCGUUAAUCGUUAGUUUUUAACUUCAUUACUGUAUGGAAGUCCUGUCAAAUUAAAUUGCUGUUGUUAAAUUUAUUAAAUCUCUUGCUUCCCUGCAAAUCUCUGCGUGCUUUACUUUUAAUUGAAACUAAUGAAUGAAAAUUUUACUUUCAGCUGUUGGAGGGGUCCUCAUCUUAUUCAAUGAUGUAUAUGUCCUAAUGGCAUUGGCCUUUUACUUUAAUUACAAGCGAGUUGUGAAUUUGAAAAACAAAGUCCCAGGUAAUUCAAUUUCAUUUCAUUUUAUUUUAUUUCUUGGCUUGUUUUAUCGCUUCAUCUAAAUUGUUUGGAAUACACCACUAGUUUAUUUUUACUUUUAGAAUGAGUUUUAAUGUUUUGUUCUGAGAUUUAUAUGCUGAUUUUAUAUCAUUAAAGGUCUUAGUGACUUAGUUUGGUCUUCACUUAUUUAUUUAUUUAUUUUUUUGACGUCGUGGCUUUAUAAUGUGUUUUUUUUUUUAAUUUUGAAUUUUAUAAUUCCUUGAAAAUGUCAUUGAAAGGGCCAGCACUUUUAUGUGGAAACCAUCUCAUCCUCCUUAUUUCAAACUAUUAAACAACCAAAUGUAUCCUAACAUAUAUGUUUAGAAUCAAUCUACUCAUUAAGAUAUAUGGUAAUGGUGUCAUCUGUUUGCUAUAGUUUGAUUACAAGAGAACUUUUCCAUUUGUUAGUUGCCAUCUUUGUUGAUCUGUUAAUUCAGUCUUCUUCUGUUUGUCCUGUUUAUCUGUUUAUUUCAACCUUUCUUUCAAAACUUAGAAGGUAUGGAAAGAGCAAGUACUUAGAAAUUGCGAGAAUUAUAUCAAAUCAUGCAUAUAUGCCCCUGCCUAUGAACUCUUAGGAACAAUCGAAUAUCUUUCCUUGAAUAGCAUAAAACAAAAUCUACAGAUCAUUAAACCAUCAAAAGUUAGCUAUGAACAACUAUAUAAAAAUCAUUUGUUUCUCACCUUUUCGUGAGUCUGAGAAGUUGUAAAUUCUACUGAGUUUCUCACCUUUUUUUUUUUUUGGACAAUUGGAGUUUUUAGUUUAUGAAACUUAAUGCCUAUAUUUCUCACAUUGUAAAAGUGUUUUGAAAAGAUGGUUUAUAUUGCACCAUAAAAAUGUGGUCUGAUAAACCAACAGGGGAGUAGUUUGAUCCAGUUACGUGAAAUGCAUGCAAAAUAAUAUUUUCUCUAUAGUUACUGAAGAGAAUUUUGGUCACUUUGGUGUGCAUUAUCUGGAAUAAAGUCGUUUUCCAGUUUCUUCAAAGUUUAUGUGCGGAGGACUUCCGGUUUCCAUCUCAAGUUCAAAUACUAAUAAAGAUGAGUAAAUUCAUCAUCCGUGUGUCUGCUCUUUCUAUGCAUUUUGACAUUUUUUAUUAAUGCGUCUUUAACAGUAGUUUUUUUUCACAGAAAAAAUUGUCAGUAUUUUGUGUCAAAUAAAAAAUUAAAAAAUAUAUAUGUAUUUUGGGCGAAACUUUUUGCGAAAAAUAAUGAGUGCCAACACUUUAUAACUUAAUAUGUAUUUUGGGCUUGGCGAAGUUACGGUUCAUGUAACUAAUCAAUUUAAUCAUUACCGGAUAAAAUUGAAUACACCAGUAGUGUUUUUCCACGGAGAUAUUGCCAAAUUUUGUGUCAAAUAAAGAAUAAAAACCAUAAAUACCAGUAGUGUCCGAUUUUGAAAGCAAAGCAGCAUACAUAUUAACUACUAGGCUUUGAUGGUGGUUGCAGUAAAAAGGAUUAAAAGAGAGAGAGAGAGAGAACUUGAAAACUAUGGAAUGGAAGAUAAAUCAAAGUUAUAAAUUUGGACUCAAUAGUUUUGAUGUUCAAUCAAAUAUGGAGGGGCGAUUAGAAAUUAUCAAAAAUUUAGAGGGAUUUCAACCGUUCAAUUCAUUAUUAGGCGUUGUAGACUGCAGGGAUGCAGAAAUUUCCACAGGGACGAUGGCCCCGAGGGAUCUUCCUCAUUCGGGAGUUUGAUAAUUUUAGAUCUAAUUUUUCUAUGUGGAGACAAGACUGUGAUCAAUUAAUAUGUGUGGGUGUAAGUUACAUGAAAUAUAACUUAGUGUUUGCCCUAAUAUUUUAUUUGGCUCCACAUUUUUCUAUUUCUAUCUUUAGUUCUAUUUUUAAUUAAUUUAUUUCAAAUUUAUAGUAAAUACAUUUAAAAUUUCAAUUAUAAUAGUGUGAUGUAAAUAAAAAAUAUCACAAUACAUUUAUAAAAAUAAUAUAAAUAACAGCCAAUAUAAAGUAAAUAUAAACAUUUUAAAAUUGACAAAGAUAAUUUAAUUGAUGGUUUAUACUAUAUGACAUUUAUGGAUGAGUUCAACUUUGAAGAUUUACUUUUGCUUAAUUAGUUCAAAGAUUAUCUUCUAAUUUGAUGACAUUGACUUAAUUUGAUGGAAAUGAUUUUAAUCACUUUAGUUAAUUUGAUAUUUUUUGUGUUAAUAUGAUUUUAUAUUUUUACUUUAAGAUGAUUAAAUUAAGAAAAAAAAGAAAUUAAAUAAUCAGAGAUCGGAUAGCAUCGGAGAUCCCUUUGUAUUAUUUAGAAACAUCCAUCCCCUUCUUUCAAGUGAUUUUGAAGGAAAUGUCUAGAGUACAAAGAGAUAGACAGAGUAUUAAAGAUGAGUAUGGGGAAAUCAAUCCCCUCUCCUUCCCUUCUUAUUGACAUCUUUACAUGUGAGCCCAAGGGGAAAUGCACCAUGCCUGAUAAAAGUAAAAUUAAAAAUAAAAAUUUUCUUUUAUCAAAUCACUCUAUGUGGUGGAGAUUAUUGUAUAAUCAAGUACACAUGGCAUUUUUAAAAGCUUUUUCUUUAUUUAAAGCUCUAAAGGUUUGCCUAAGAGUCAAGGUUGGUGCCGUUCUUCUAGAAGAACAACCCGUAUCUUUUGAUAUUCAAAGUUUGAAUAUCAAGUUCAAACUUUAAAUUUUGAAAUAAUAAUAAUAAUAAAUAUAAAAAGUGCCAAAUUUUUAGCUAUAAAUAGAGGGGUUCACCCCCUCAUUUCACUCAUUCCAUUCUUUUCUUCUUUAGUUCUAUAAUGAGAGAGUAAGAGUUUUAUACUCUUGAGUGACUAGUGUUUAGAGAGAUUGGGUGUAUUAAGGUUUUGAUAAGUGAAACAAAAUACUAAAAUACUUAUAAUUCUCAUUUCACUAGUAAAGUUUUAUCCUUUUGUCCUUGCCUAUGGGCAUAAGUUAAAAGCCGAACCAAAUAAUUUAUGGUGUCCUCUGUGUGCUUGUUCUUCAUUUUCUUCCAAUUUCAUUUUAGUCGUGGCCCUACUUCACCAAUCAAUUUUCUAAUAGUGGUAUUAGAGCCGGGUUGUAUUUUUUGGGGUCGAGAUACUAUUUACAUAUAUUGUAUUGUUCAUGUAUAUGAUAUUGUUUCUGUAUACGACACUUUAUUCAUAUAUACAGUUACUGCUCAUGUGAAAUGGUAGGAAUCGAUCUUAGCAAAGGUAGCUCGUGGUGAAAAGUGAUGGCGGAAAAAUACAAAAUUGAGAAGUUCAACAGAAAUAAUUUUUCGUCAUGAAAAAUGAAGAUGAAGGUUGUAUUGAGGAAAAGUAAUUGCUUGGCAGCAAUUGAAGAGAGGCUCACAAAGAUAACUAAUGAUGGCAAGUGGAAUGAGAUAGACAAUAAUGCCAUUGCAUAUCUACACUUACCACUUUCAGAUAGGGUAUUUUUCAAUAUGGUAGAGUAAAAGAGAGUAAAGGAAAUAUGGUUUACUCUCACAAGACUAUACGAGGUCAAAUCACUACAAAAUAAAAUCUUCUUAAAGAUGAGGCUUUAUACUCUUCAAAUGGAGGAAUCUACAUCAGUGAUCGACCAUAUCAACACUUUAAAGACUUUAUUUUCAUAACUUACAACGUUGGGUCAUAAAAUAGAGGAAAAUAAACAUAUAGAGCUUUUACUUCAAGGUUUACCAGAUUCGUAUGAUCAAUUCGUCAUUAAUAUAACUAAUAACAAUCGAGCAAACAAGUUAGUCUUUGACAAUAUGGCAGCCUCCGUAUUAAAUGAGGAGAGUAGCAAAAAAUAAAAAAGAUAGACAGAAGAGUUCGCAACAAGUAGAAGCGCUAUUGGUGAUGAAAGGAAGAUCCAUGGAACGUGGCCCUAGUGAGAGCCACAGUCACGGUAGAUCAAAAUCUAGAAGUAAAAAGAAUGUCAAAUGCAACAACUGUUGCAAGAAAGGGCAUGUCAAGGAAGAGUUUUGGAACAACUAGAAGAGAAGAGAUGGUAAAGAUUCUGAGUCAUCAAAUGCUCAAGGGUAUGUAGUAAGUACCUCGUAUGAUGGCAAAAUUCUCUACAGUAAGGCAACAACUGCUUCAGAAGAUAGAAAACCACUAUAUGACAUCUGGCUUAUAGACUUAAUAGUUGCCUGGCACAUGAUCUCUCCAAGAGAAUGAUUUCACAAAUAUGAACCUAUUUCAAGAGAAUUUGUAUACAUAGGUGAUGAUUAUGCCUUUGAGAUUACUGAUAUUGGUACUGUCAAAAUAAAUAUGUUUAAUGGUAUGGUUCGCACAAUUGAGAAGGUAAGACAUGUCAAAGACUUGAAAAAUAUCUCUUGUCUUUAGGACAAAUAGAUAGUCUUACGCGCAAAACUCAUGUAGAAAAUGGGAUCAUAAAGAUAGUCAAAGGCGCACUUGCAUUAAUGAAGGUGGAAAAGAUCGGUGAUAAUUUAUUCAUGCUUAAAGGGAAACACUACAGAAAGCUUUUGUGUCAGUCACAUCAAAUAGAGAAAAUUCAGUGAUGAUGUGGCAUCUUAAACUUGGCCACAUGUCAAAACAAGGAAGCAACAUAGAUGAAAGUUUAGCAGAUCCACUUUCAAAAGUAAAUGUAUUUUAGACUUGAUUCAUUCUAAUGUUUGGGAAUCAAUUGAUAUAUCUAUGGGAGGUGCAAAGUACUUGGUGACUUUUAUUAAUGAUUAUUCUAGGAGAUAUUUGGUGUAUCCAAUCAAGAAAAGGUCAAAUGUAUUUCCAUUGUUCAAAGAAUUCAAAGCGUAGAUUGAACUUAAAUCAGGGCAAGGGAUCAAGUGCCUGAGGACAGACAAUGGUGGAGAGUAUACAAAUAGCAUGUUUCUUGCAUAUGUAAGCAAGAAAGUAUCUAGAGAUAGUUCACGGUGGCAUACACUCCUCAAUAAAAUAGAGUAGUAGAGUGAAAGGGCAUGACUCUUAUAAAAAAAAAAAGAGUUAUGUUGAGAAAUGCUGGUCUACCAACUCAUUCUAGGUGGAAGUAGCAAAAACUACUUAUUAUGUGGUAAGUGGGUCAUCAUUCAAUGCAACCGGGUUGAAAAUUCCAAUGGAAAAAAUAGACAGGAAAGCCAGUUGAUUACUCUCAUCUCAGGCAUUUUGAUGUCCUUUUACGUGAUAUACAAUACCCAAGUGAGAUUAAAGAUGGAUCCAAAAUCCAAGAGAUGUAUCUUCUUAGGAUAUAUUGAUGGAGUGAAAGGGUAUUAUCUGUGGGACCUCAAUGCCCAUAAGAUCGUUAUCAGUAGAGAUAUUAUCUUUGUAGAAGAUCAAAUGCAAAAGAGAGAUAUGGAUGAUAGCACUAUAAAAAUUCAGAGAUUGUGCUAAUAUAUGUUGAAAAUAAUCUGGAAAAUGAAGAUUUAGAUUUUUUUGAAGCAGCACCAAAGUAUGAGAACAAGAACCAAUCGAGUCUGAGGCCCCAAAAGUUUGUUGGUCAACUCGUGAUAGAUAAUUGUCAGUGUGGCAUUUGGAUUAUGUCACAGAUAUCAAUUUUGCAUACUGUCUUUUAAUAGAGAAUGGAAAGCCAUCAACUUUUCAUGAAACCUUAAACAGCUCAGAUGUUACUUUGUGAAUGAUAGCAAUGCAGGAAGAAAUUAAGGCUCUACACAAGAAUAUGACAUAGGAACUCGUACUACUACUAUAUGAAAAAAAAAAGACCCAUUGGUUGGAAAUGGGUCCAUAAGAUCAAACGUGAUGGUAAUAACCUAGUGGAGCGGUAUCAUGAAAGAUUGGUGAUGGAAGAAUAUCCUUAGAAAGAAUGUAUUAACUUCAAUGAGAUAUUUUCUCCAGUGAUUUGACUCAGGACAGUCAGAGUGGUCUUGUCGAUGUGUGCUACAUUUGACCUAUAUUUGGAGCAGUUAGAUGUGAAAAUUUCAUUUCUUUAUGGAGAACUUGAAGAAAAGAUUUCUAUGCUCUAACUAGAAGGUUUUACUAAAAAGGGACACUUGGUUUGCAAGUUAAACAAAUCUCUAUACGAUCUCAAACAUGCACCGAGAUGUUGAUAUAAGAGAUUUGAUCCAUUCAUCAUAAACCUUGGAUACAAUAGAAUCAGUUCAGACUGUUGUACAUAUUACAACAAGUUUGAUAAUAAUAAUUUCAUCAUUCUACUGUGGUAUGUUGAUGACAUAUUAGUAGCAGGCCCCAACAAAGAUCGAGUCCAAGAACUAAAGCACAGUUAACUAGGGAGUUUGAAAUAAAAGACUUAGAACCAGCAAACAAGAUUUUAGGGAUGCAAAUUCACCGAGAUAGUAAUAGCAAAAAGAUUUGGCUUUCUACCCCGCCUCCCAUUAAUUUCAAGUUAUUCUUAAGUAUUCAUCUAGUAAUGAAGUAGAGAAGAAGAGAUGUCUUGAGUACUGUAUGCAUCAGCAGUGGAAAAUUUAAGGUUCGCUAUGAUUUGUACAAGUAGUGGGAGAGGUUAGUCGAUACAUAGCGAAUCCUUGCAAAGAACAUUGGAAGACUAUUAAGAGGAUUCUGAGAUAUAUCAUAGGAACAUCAGAUGUUGCAUUAUGUUACGAAGGAUACUGUCAAGGGCCAUGUGCAUUCAGAUUUUGCAGAAAAUCUUAAUAAAAAAAAAUCCACUACUGGCUAAGUAUUUGCACCAGAAUGAGAAAUUGUUAGUUGGAUUUCAAAAUUGCAGACCAUUGUGGCUUUAUCAACAACAGAAGCAGAUUACAUAGCAGCUACACAAGCUUGGAUGAGCUAUUUAGAUACAAAGGUUACUGAAGGAGCUUGGGCAUAAAAUUUUUUAUGGCUUGUGAUAGUUAGAAUGCAAGGAAUCCAACCUUUUAUUUUAGGACAAAGAAUAUAGGAGUACAAUAUCACUUCUUCGUGAAGUAGUGAAAGAUAUAAGAGUGGAUACCAAGGAGAACUUAACAAAUGUUUUGCCCAAGCCUAUCAAUGCUGAUAAAUUUGUUUGGAGUAGAUCAUUUUACGGCCUAGUAGAGACAUAAACAACAUGACAGCGGCGAAGUAGAAAGGAUGGUGUGGAGAUUGAUUGAUUCUCAAUCAAAUUUCUAAGUGGGAGAAUAUCAAAGUCAAUGUCGCUUUUCUAGAAGAGCGACCAAUACCUUUUGAUAUUCAAAGUUUGAAUGUCAAGUUCAAACUUUGAAUUUAAUAUAUAUAUAUAUAUAUAUAUAUAUAUAUAUAUAUAUAUAUAUAUAUAUAUAUAUAUAAAUAGUGCCCAAAAUUUUAACUAUAAAUGAGGGGUUCACCCCUGCAUUUCAUUCUUUUCUUCUUCAAUUCUAGUGUGAGAGACUAAGAGUUUUAAUGCUCUUGAGUGAUUAGUGUUUUAAGAGAUUGAGUGGAUUGGGGUUCUGGGAAGUGAAACAAAAUAUUAUAAUACUAGUAAUCCUCAUUUCACCACUAAAGUUUUAUCUUUUGUCUUUACCCAUAGACGUAGGUUAAAAGUCGAACCACGUAAUUUUUAGUGUCCUCUGUGUGCUUGCUCUUCAUUUUCUUCCAAUUUUAUUUUAGCUAUGGACCUACUUCACCAGUAAAUUGAAGACGUUGGAACUGCGUGAUUUAGAUAGCCUCACAAGUUUCUGCUCUACCAAUUACACCUUCAAAUUCCCAUCUUUGCAAGAGUUAUGUGUGAUUGGUUGUCCCAAGAUGAAGAUUUUCACUACAGGAGAAUCAAUCACGCCGAGUAAACGUCUGCUAUGGAGAGACAGCGGAUCAACGGCGCUGGGCUAAUAAUGAUCUAAACACAACCAUACAACAAUUACAUGCUGAGAAGGUACGUAUAUACAUAUUACUCUCUAUCUCCCAUGAUAAAUUUUUACAAAAUUUGCUUUCUUAAAUACAAUAUAGAUAAGAUAUUUGAUGAAUAAGAAUUUUAUUUUAAGCUGUUGGCGGUGUCGUCGUCAUACUCUACGCAGUAGUACGACUAAUGUCAUAGGCUUCUUAUGACCUGGAGUUGCGAAUUUUUAGAAGAAAGUCUCAACUGGUAAUUAAUUUUUAUUUCAUUUAUUUAAUCCCAUGGCUUGUUUCGCAAUUUCAUCUGAAUUAUUUAGAAUGGGUCCCUCGGUUUACUGUUAAAUUUGCAAUGCAAUUUUAAUGAUCCUUUCAGACUUUUAUGGACAGAUUUUGCAAAAUUGAAUGUCUUUUAGUCUAGUUUAAUUUGAGUUUUUCUUUUUUUUUUUAGAGCUCCCCAUGUUUUCUAAAAUUUUAUAAUUCCUUGCAUACUUUUUAGGAUAAAAUUUCAUUAAAAGCCUUCAUAUUUUAUAAUUCCUUGAAAACUUGCAUACUUUUUCCUUUUUUUUUCUUGCCAAUUAUUUAUUGUCAUCAUUGCUGUUCUUUUAUUUUAGUUUGUGCUCUGUUUGUUCAUUGGGUUUGCUUUUCGGAAAGUUAGAAGGCAAGGAAAGUACUUAGAAAAUGUUCUUCCCUAUGAACACAUAAUUAACAGCUGAAUAUCAUUCAUUGGAUUAAAAAAAAUUAAAAUAAAAAAAAGUAAUAAGCCCAUUAUUCCUAGAACAAAUCCUUAAACCAUCAAACGUUAGCUAUGAACAAGUAUAUUGGUCUAUAGCAUAUUCAUAAUAUUUUCUCUGCUGUUCCUGUUAAAAUUUCUCUACUCAAUGAUCGCAGAAUAUCUGGAUACUGAUGAAGAUUUAAGUCACUCUUCUUCUAUGAAUAAGGUCGUUUUUCUUUUUUCUUCUAUUCAAAGUUUCCAUUCUGAGCAGUUCCCAUUUCCAUCUUCGUGAUCUUCUUGUGAUAGUGUGAGUUACAACCUGUCUGUUUCCUUUGUUUGAUCAUUGCAAGUUCAAAGACAUUUUAUUCUAGCUAAGCUCUUUGUAUGUAUUAUAACAUUUUUAUUCUCAAUAUAUAUAUGACUCAAUGAGAGGUCUUUUAUUAUAUUUAUGUCGUGAAUUUCUAUUGUAUUGUGACAUUUGAUGGUGUAUCAUUGUCUCAUUGCAAGGUCUUGUAAUCACUCUGAUUCUCAUUUGAGGAGGUUGGUCUCGUCUAUGUGUAUGUAUUUAUAUCCACAAGAAAUUUGAUAAAUGGUCUUGUCAUUUUCUCAUCAAAACAUCUAGUGCUUCAUAUGUUGGAGGGCUACCAGGCAUCAGGGCCAGUUUUUUAAACUCAAAGUUCUUCCUGUCAUUUUUUAACAAUAAUAAGGAAAGCCCAAGAGAAAAUCUAGAAGUCCUAAUAAGGACCGCUUCUGCAUAUAUUGUUCAUUUUCUUAAUUACCUUCAUUAUUAUUUUCGUUUUCAAUCGAUCAAACUUCAGUUUCUUAGCAUUAAUCUAAUUAUGUACUUCAUCUUGAAAUCCUUAAAUUACCCAUCAAAAUGUGAACGAUUAGUGUAUCAUUUUUGCACUAUAAGAAAUAGUUGUAUUACCGACCAGACAUUUCCACAAUAUACUAUUGAAAAUAAGUACUUUUUACAAAGGUAUUGUCAUUGAUGAGCCGUUGGAUAAAUAUGAAAAGUAUCAUACCUCGGUGAUAAAGAAAAUUCGUUUGUCGGAAAUGGAAUGUCGAGCCCAAAAUUACUCUAAACUUGGUAAAGUUAGAUUUUGGCCCAAUUUGUUUGAAAGUUUUAUACAUAAAGCACUUUUUUUUUUAUGUAAUUUGUGCAAUCUGAAGGGAGGUAUUGUAAAAUUAACAUAAAUAAAUGUAAUAUGCCAAUACCGUUUAAAACAAAAAAGAUAUCAUGAAAUUGAAAAAAAAUAAAUAAUAAUAAUAAUAACAACAUUAAAAGAAAAAGGAAAUUACGGAGAAGAAUAAUCGCUUCUUGAUCUCAACUCUCAAUUUGAAUACAAUCUCUGAAUCUCACUUCUCGAUCUGUCUCCAUUCUUCAUUCGCAUUUACUCGGUGGUAAUUAAUUCUUCACUCUCACUCGCCUUAUUUCCUGCAGAUUUCUUCAUUUUCCUUCACUGUUCGUUUUUAAGGUUCCAUUGUAUUUCCAUUGAGUUUGCAACUGUUCAAUUGCUCGAUCCACAUUAGUUUUAAGGUACGAUUGUUGGUUAUUUUCCUAAUCAAUAGACAACCCUAGAUACGAUCAUAGGAUUUAAUCAAUUGACAGUCUGAAAAAUCAGAGAGACCCAAAUCCUAAUCAACAAACGCAUACGAUGAUUCAUUUAAAUUAGAUUGUUUAUUCUCAUAACACAAUGCACUGCUAUGCUAUUUGUCACAAACAUUAAAAUCUUCAUACGAUAAAUCUUUUAAUUGACAAUAGAUUAAGUUGAUAAUUAAAUAGUAGCCAAUUAUCUAAUUAACAAACAUAAUCAUGACAAUAAUUCAGAGAAUAAACAAAUACCCAAAAAGUAAUAAAAUAAUUAAAGUAUAAGAAAGAUCUCACAGCAGUGAUGAAUCAAAGUUUCAUUAACCUUCAACCAGAAUAAUAGAUUUAGUUUUUCAUAGACAGGAGAGAAAAAUUUAGAUCUAGGGUUUCUUUCUCUUCAAAAAUCUCCGUCUUUGACAAUAGAUUCCUCCCUUAAAUUCUCUUCUCUCUCUUCUCCUCUAGAGUUCUUUUUAAAAUAAAAUACUAAUUUCUAAAAUAUUAUCUAAAUAUUAAAUGCGUAAUUACAAAAAUAACUAAAAAUACAAAACACGUUAAACUAAAAACUGCAGGUCCGUAGUAGACAGCAUGCGCCCACACCUUAUCAACAAAGUUCUUCUGAAGCUCAUAAUUUCUUCAAGAAAACAAUCAUCCUCAAACAUCAUCUUGUAGCUCAAUUUUAGCACCAAUCAAUAAAAUUGCACCUACCAAAAUAAAACACAAGUAAAUCACUAUUAUUAAGUGCAAAACAUCGAUAUUAAAAGAAGUAAAUAAUGCAAAACUAGUGCAUAAAUUGUACUCUAACACUUCAUUCCGAUCCCUUGAUCAUUACUCAUUUAUUUAUUUAUUCUUUGCUUCACUUCUAAGCUUAGCAAAGGAACUUGAACUUUGGCUUUUCAAAUAGGUCACUUUUGCUUUUAAUCUCGCCCAUGAUCUUCAUCAUGAAGAUGACAAACCAUUAUUCUUUAUUCUUCACUUUUGCUUUUAAUCUCGCCCAUGAUCUUCAUCGUGAAGAUGACAAACCAUUAUUCUUUAUUCUUCACUUGUUGAAUUUACAGAAUAUAUAGCAUUCUUAAAAUUUUAGCAAAUCGUUAUUCUUCAGCUUCAGCACCUCAUUAAAAAGUCAUUCUUUGAACUUAUUCUCAAUCAAGAAAAACAUAUGCGUUCGUUCGUUGUAGUCACUGUUGUUUUGUUAUUAAUGUUUGCUCCCUAUUGCCGUUAACUCUCUUGAGCUUCACAGGAUCAGGAAACCCUUUUCUCUUGGCAUCUGUUUUGUUGUAAUCUCUCAGUCCUUGUUGAUUAGUUUCUCUCCGCUCCCAAUUUAGUUGUGUCCUGCUGUUGUCUCUGUUUUGUUCCAUAUCUACUCUCUGCACUUCUGCUGUGUCAAGACAUCUUCUUUUGUUCAUUCGGUUGUGGUCUAUAAUAUAUUUUUCAUCUUUCUUUUGGUCUAUACUUAAGUUAUUUUGAUUGGUUCCUUUCUCCUUUAUUAUCUAAAUCCCUCCUUAUAUUUAUUCAAUCAGUUGUUACGCUUUCUUUCAUUUCUCCGCUUCCACAACCAGAUAAACUGUCCAUCUUUGUUGUUUCUUCUUUUUUCUCUUCUGUGGUUGGCUCUUGUUUAUUUGCUUUUCAGAACUCAAAAAAAAAAAAAAAAUAGAAGGAUCAAAGAUGGUGGAAACCAUUAUUACUGUUGUUUUGGAAGUUGUGAAAUGCUUGGCUCCUCUAGCAGAACGCCAACUUGGUUAUUUACGUAACUAUAAAACCAACUUUGAGAAUCUCAGGGCAAAAUUUGAUGAACUCAAGGAUGAAAGUAGGAGCAUUCAGCACAGAGUUUCUGAGGCUGAAAGAAAAGGAGAAAAGAUUGAAGAGAAGGUUGAAAAGUGGCUGGUUAGUGCAAACGACAUCAUUGACAGCGCAGCCAAAUUCAUUGAAAAUGAGGAGUCAACGAAUAAGCGUUGUCUCAAGGGCUUGUGUCCUAAUUUGAAGACCCGCUAUCAGCUUAGCAAGAAAGCAGAGACAGAAAUGAAGGCCCUUGUUGAACUUGGAGAAGAAGUAAAGAAGUUUGAUAUUGUUUCCCACCGUACCAUUCCGGAGGAGAUUUGGCUCAAGUCUCACAUAGGCUACGAGGCCUUCGAAUCAAGACGUUCUACUUUGGAGGCUAUAAAAAAAGCAUUGAUCGAUGUUAGCAUCAUUGGGGUGUACGGCAUGGGCGGCAUUGGAAAGACGACACUGGUGAAGGAGGUCUCCAGGCAAGCUAUGGAAGCCAAGCUCUUUGAUAUGGUGGUCUUUUCAGAGGUUUCGCAAACUCCAGACAUAAAAAAGAUUCAACAGGAAAUUGCCGAGAAGUUGGGCCUGGAGUUGCGCGAGGAAGUUGAAUCUGGAAGAGCAAGUAGACUAUUUGAGCGAUUGAGAAAUGAGAAGAAGAUCCUUGUGGUUUUAGAUAACAUCUGGAAACACCUUAAUUUGGAGACUGUUGGAAUUCCUUUUGCAGAAGAUCAUAAAGGAUGCAAACUACUGCUGACAGCAAGAGAUCGUAGUGUCCUCUUACAAAUGGGAUCCAAAGACAACUUUUUGAUAAACAACUUAAAAGAAGAAGAAGCCGGGAGAUUGUUUAAGAUGAUGGCCGGUGAUGAUGUUGAAAAUCGUGAGUUGAAAUCUACAGCAAUAGACGUCGCCAGGGCAUGUGGAGGUUUGCCCAUUGCCUUGAGUACGGUAGCAAAGGCAUUGAGAGGCAAGAGUCUGCAUGAAUGGAAGAAUUCCUUGCGAGAACUCCGAACGCCUUCAAUGGUAAACUUCGAAGGAGUAUCUGCAGAGACUUAUGCAAGUAUUGAGCUGAGUUUCAACCAAUUAAAAGGUGAACGCAAGGAAAUUUUUCAGCUCUGCAGUCUAAUGGGUAACCGUAUUUUUACUUUCGACUUGUUUAAGUACUCCAUGGGUUUGGGUAUAUUUAAAGGAGUCAAUAAGAUGGAAGAUGCACGAGACAAAUUAUAUGCAUUGGUCCAUGAACUUAGAGACUCUUGUUUGUUGCUUGAGGGUGAGAGCAAUGAACAAUUGUCAAUGCAUGAUGUUGUUCGCGAUGUCGCGAUAUCAAUUGCAUGCCGCCAGCAACAUGUGUUUUCGGUGAGGAAUGAGGAUGUGUGGGACUGGCCAGAUAAGGAUGCACUUCGAAAUUGCAAAGCUAUCUCUUUAAUAAAAAAUAGUAAUCGUGAAUUUCCUGAAGGAUUAGAAUGCCCAAACCUUGAAUUUUUAUAUAUCUCUCUCAAAGAUUUUUCUCUUGAAAUCAAUAUUCCUGAGAACUUUUUUGUAGGGAUGAAAAAGCUUAGAGUUCUAGAUUUUACUCGAAUGCAGUUUUCUUCUUUUCCAUCUUCAAUUGAUCUUCUAGUAAAUCUUCACACACUAUGUCUGGAUAAAAGUGCGUUGGGCGACAUAGCAAUCAUUGGGAAGUUGAAGAAUCUAGAAGUCCUUAGCUUUUUGAAGUCUGAUAUAACGCAGUUGCCAGAAGAACUAGGUCAAUUGAAUAAGUUGAGAUUGUUAGAUUUAACCAAUUGUUUCCGUCUGAAAGUUAUUGCCCCAAAUGUCAUAUCAAGCUUAAUCCGAUUAGAAGAGCUGUAUAUGGGUAAUUGCUCCAUUGAAUGGGAGGUUGAAAGAGCCAACAGCAAAAGAAGUAAUGCUAGCCUUGAUGAAUUGAUGCAUUUACCUCGGCUAACCACUCUAGAAAUUGAUGUUAAAAAUGACAGUAUGUUACCAGAAGGUUUUUUGGCCAGAAAGCUCGAAAGGUUCAAAAUAUCUAUUGGAAAUGGGUUAUUCACACAUCCCAUGAUUGCUGAACAAAAUUGGUUCCAAAGUCUGCGGCGCUUUUCUCGCAAAAGUGAUCGCAAGAGUUUAAGAGCAUUGAAGCUCAAGCUUGCUUUUAUGGACAUUUGCUCCAUGAAAUUGCAGGGCAUCAAUAACGUAGAAUGCUUAUGGUUGGACAAGCUGCAAGGCAUCGAGAAUGUUCUUUUCAAUUUGGACACAGAGGGCUUUUCACAAUUGAAGCUUCUCUGGGUUCAAAAUAAUCCUGACAUCUUUUGUAUCGUCGAUUCAAGGGCGAUGGUCGCUUGUGAUGCCUUUCCUCUUUUGGAGUCACUUGGCCUUCACAAUUUGAUCAACAUGGAGAGGAUAUGUAUUGAUCGGCUCAAAGUAGAGUCCUUCAACGAACUCAAAAUCAUACAAGCAUAUAAUUGUGAUAAAUUGAGUAAUAUCUUUUGGCUCUCUACAACAAAAUGCCUUCCAAGACUUGAGAGAAUUGCAGUUAUUAAUUGCAGCAAGAUGAAAGAGAUUUUUGCAAUUGGGGAAGAAGUUGAUAAUGCAAUUGAGAAGAUAGAGUUUGCUCAAUUAAGAUCUUUGAGUCUGGGGAAUCUUCCAGAGUUUACAAGUUUUUGCCGUGAGGUGAAGACUCCUUCAGCAUCACCAAACAGACCAGCGUCGCAGGAGGAAUCGACGACUACGUAUAGCUCCAGCGAAAUCACUUUGGAUACUUCAACUCUGCUUUUCAACGAGAAGGUGCGUAGGCUAACAUUUUCUUUAUUCUAUCAUGCGUUCUGUUUUGAUGUCAUACGUGGAAAAUAAUUAAAUCAUUUAAAGAAUUGAAAGAAAAUGGAAAAAAGGAUAAAAAGAAUCUCACGCGCUCACUAAUUGAGCUCUUAACAAGUAGUAUGAAUUAGAAUGCAUACUCAGCUGUCAGUUGGAAAUUGAUUCAGACUUGCAUUAAUUUGUAAUCAAAGAAGAAAAUUUCAACAAGUGCUUCCCAUAUGGAUAUUGGAUCUAACGAGAAAUUCUUCUUUUUUUAGGUUGCGUUGCCUAACUUGGAGGCUUUGGAGAUAUCUGCAAUUAAUGUCGACAAGAUUUGGCACUACAAUCAAAUUCCAGCGGCCGUGCUUCCUCACUUUCAAAGUUUAACACGAUUGAUUGUGUGGGGUUGUCACAAAUUAAAAUACAUAUUUUCAGCGUCUAUGAUCGGAAGCCUUAAGCAGCUCCGACACCUAGAUAUACGCUUCUGUGAGGAUUUAGAGGAGAUCAUUUCUGAAAACAGAGCAGAUGAAGUUAUCCCUUAUUUUGUCUUUCCACAGCUCACCACUCUAAGACUCGAAUGUCUAC